rnacentral:lncRNA from 1 species
AGAAGGCCGCCAAGUCCCCCAAGAAGGCCACCAAGGCUUAGAAACACGCAUAUGUUGCUGUAGGCUGUUUAAUGCUUCGUAACUGUGGUCGUUGUUCUGCUAAUGGUGUCGAUGUAAUCUUUGUUGCUAAGAGAAAUGUCAGAAAUCUCUCUGAUUUGCCUAAAUUCUUUGCUCUGUCGGCUGUUCUUGUUUCCCAGUGUUCGAUUCUGACAUUCCCUUAACAGCAAUGCCCACCAGGUGCUCGAUCUCCGUUAGACAGCGCCGGAGAUGAGAUGGAAGGGAAGUUUGCCCGAUAGCACUGCGUGCUAGCUGCUGGCUACGGCUGUCACUUCGGCGAUCCCUUCCGUGCCUACAAAUCCCCACACGGUAAUACUCCGGCAACUCCAUCCACCGCCAUGGCGUCCGGCGCUACCGUGUCUGUACAAAUUGCCCGCGGCUGAAUCUUCUGUGCACCUGACUUGCUAGACGGAAUGCUUGACAAGAGCUGUGGCGUCGAAACAACACCACUUGGCCGCUGUCAGCUUCUCGGCCCCAACAUUGUUGCUAGAGUGCUACAGGCCCGGGCAACAUGUUCGUGGCGAUGCUGCUCGGCUCGACGGCCUUGCCGUUGACUGAUUGAAUCAUGGUCUUACAUGGUGAGUGCGCUGUGGCCUCUGCAAAGUUUUUCCAGAGUAGUUGUCCCAUGCAGUUGCCUUUAUCCAGAGAGCUUAAUCGCCCAGUUGCUCUAUCUCUGGCAGUGGGCAAAUUUUUCUUUGAGUUAAUUACACCUGUAGUACAAGAACUUGCAGCGAACAUACAAAAACUAAAAAACCCAGAAAAAUGGUACAAUAACUUAUCUAACAACACAAUUUGAUACAAUUUCCGUUAAUCCUAAUGGUGUGGGUCUCACUUGUCAGUCAGACAGGGAAAUAAAAGCAACGAAAAAUAGCGUGCUCUGCCGUGAUUCAAACCUCGGACACAAUCUUAGAAGUCUAGGCGCUUGACGACUGUACCAUUCUAUUUUUUUUGCCAAUGUAGAGGCAGAUUUGUUUCUAUACCGUAGUUUCAGACACGUCCCACUCCGCUCGCCACCUUCGCUGACUUAUCUUUUUAUUAUGUGUGUCUUUUUUUUAUUUUUUUUUCAGAUCUUAGGUUUCUUUGGUUUUUCCUUAUUAUUAUUUUGCAUUUUAUUUUUUAUAUAGGUUUUGCAAUAUACGGCAAACUUUUUUUGAUAUACACACUGAACAUUUUAGUAUACGAUAAACAUUUUUUUCGCAGGAGAAUGGUGGGUUUUAUUCCUCGGUAAUAGUGUUACAAUAUGCUAAUACAAAGGUAGGAACACUGUCUAAAACAUGGUGCAACUAACAAGCGAUGCUACCUCCUGUGUGGUCAAUAUUGGCAAGACUAUAAGCAACCCUACUUUAACGAGAUACAAUUUUCCGCGGAGUAAACCCAUGAGGUUCCAGAAGCUUUUUGAUUUCCAGUAUUUAGAUGUCCAUAAGCUGAAAGAUCCAAUGAGUUGUCCGUCAAUGCAGCAAACUGUCAGAUUGAAUAAUAGGUAACCUUGACCGUUGCAUGCUCAUUCUCAGUCCUUCUAAAACAUCGCUGAUCUCGGAUUCAAGCAUAUCUUUGCAAAAGAAAAGAUAAUGAUAUGUUGAGAAAAUGACUGCUCCAUCCUAGUCACAUUGAACAUUUUUUAAUAUAUGAACAUUUUUAAUACGCACUAAACAUUUCUUUCAUAUAUGGUGAACUCCUUUUAAUAUAUAUACUGAACCUUUUUAUAAAACACAUACUAAACAAUUUACUAAAAUAUAUGUGCUAUAUUAGUAGGUUUUUAGAAUAUCCAGCUUCUAAAAAACAAUAGCCGGAUUUUUGGUGAAAAACAAACUAAAAAUUGUAUAAAGUUAUCCAAUCAAACUGCAUUGCGGAUGGAUGCUGUUAGCAUAUAUAUUCAAGUAUUUAAACAUGCAAGUUGAAGCAUAUGACAAUCAACAUGUGUCCCCAAACAUAUGACAAUCAACAUGUGUCCCCAAACUUCCGAUGUAUCCUGUGUAUAUAUAUGCUUAAUGCUUCUGCCAUAGAUGUACUGCCGCACUUCAAUCAUGCUUCUCAAAUUUGUCCGAUACAUCCUGCCAUUUAUGUUGUGUUAGAUCAAAGCCGUCUCUCUUGUCACAUAUGUUUCUAAUGUACAGAUGUUUUGCACUGCAUGAUGCCAACUAUGCAUCAUUGGUUUCUCAAAUAUUCUGUACUACCUACUCCCCACAAUGUCGAAUGCCUAUCCUUCUGCUUCUACAUGCUACUAGUUAUGCUGACGUAGCUCAGGAUUAGUGCUUCCAAUAUCCAUGAUUCAUAAGCAUUGUGCAUAUGUUUCUUUCAUUUAAUGCAGUUUACCAUGCAUUCUUCUUUGAUAUAGAUUUUUUUGCUUCCAAACCAAAUUAUGUAAACUUUUUGGAAUGUAGGUGACAGAACCAUUUGUGAGUCCUGCUCGCCGCUGCCCUCGAUGACGCGGUUACCAUAGCCUCAAGUUGUAUGUGCAACAUUAACUUACGAUGGUGUGGAAGAACAAAAGAGCCCCUGGCCAUGCGACUCAUGCCAUGCCCAGCGACGAGAUCGUGGGUGGGCAAGAUUAGAUGCUAUUAGCGAUGAUCUCCAUCGAAGCGGCAAUGUGCUAGUAUCUAGCCCGAGCUGAAAAAAAAAGAUCUAUUUGGAUCCAAAUAAUAUUUUCUUCGGAAGGAGAUUCUAACAUAUCUAGAAGCAAUGUUUGAUUUAUGGAAACAUCUUUUUUUCUUCUAUUGUAAGCAAUUCCAUGUCACACUAGAAACAAUUUUUCGGCCACUGUAUUGUCUAUGCAUAACAAAACAAAAUACACCGCUAUUUUUUGUGAAAAAAAUACACUGCUAUUUUGUACAUAAAUUUUCAGUAGAUCAAAGCAAUCAUUUGUUGGUAUCAAAGAAAUUUCUCAACAAGUAAUGCGACUAAGUUACAUGUUUUUUCUGCUUCAUACAACAUGUGUUCAUACUUCCAUGGAAGCAUGCUUCGAGUACAUUAUGUUCCUCUGCUUCAUACAACUUGCUUUCAUGUUUCAAUCGAUGCAUGCUUCAAAUUUGAUCACCUUGUCCAACGUCGUCAACGACUUCACACCAUGUCGGUUCACUAAUAUAUAAAGCACGCAAGGAAGCAAGCACAUGGAUAGCAGAGUGAAGCAAAUAUUAUGGUGGAGACAUAAUACAUGGGAUAUAUGAGAAUAUGAAGCCUACGAUUUUGGAGAUAGGAAUGAAGCAAAUACUUAGGUCAUUGGAAACAUGUUAUACGAACCAAUGAAGCAUGUUAAUUUUCACUUGAUACGGGGGCAAUUUUUAAUGUAGUUUUGGGACACUGGAAAUAUAAACGAUUUUAGGUAUCUAUUUAGUUGCAUUGGAAGCAAAUUUUGGUACUAACACUGGAUACAGAUUUCGCCUCAUAUGGAAGCAAACUGCAUGGACUACCUGAUGGCUCUCCCUCCGCUCCUCUCCUUCCCCUCCCCUGCUUCCUGGUCGGGAUGACCUGGUUGGCGUCGUGGCGGCGACCACCCUCCCUCCCUUCCCUCCUCACCCCUCCCCUGUGCUGCGACGUGCCGGCGCAGUGAUGGCGGCGCCCCCGCUCCCUCCCCUGUUCGCCUCCUUACGCCGGUUCCAUCCCACGGUUCUUCCUGCUCGGUGGGCAGGGAUGCUGGAUCUGUGGUUUUCCCCGCCUCCCCCCCGCUGCUCUCGCCACCGCCGCUCGCUCGCCUCCCUCCCAUGGUCGUCCCCGCCGCGUCGCAUGUCUCUGCCUACCUCCCCCUGCCAUCCUCUCCGCCCUGCGCCCUCGAAUCGGUUCUGGGCCCUGGAUCCGGGCGCUAGCGAUGACUCUUCCGAGGACGAUGAACCGCUGCUCCUGCCGGAUCUGGGGAGCGCUCGGGGUCCGACGUCGAGGUCGCGGCCCUCUUGCCCCUCUACCUGCUCCCUCUCCCCUUCCUCCUCUGUGGAUGUCUCUUCCUCGGUGCCGUUGGCCUCGGGCGACCGUCCUUGGACGCAGGUGGGGCAUCGUCGCCGCCUCAAGGUUCUUUCCCCCGUGCUGCGGCUGUCUGGGCCGGUGGCUUCCUUGGCGCUCCCCUCUCCCCUCUCUGGCGCUUCCAUCUCUCCUCCUUCUCCUUCGUCUGCGGCGGCGCACUCGCCGGCGGCGGGUCCUCCUAGGGCGGACGGAACCCUAGCUGUGUGGGUGGUUGCGGCUGUGCGGCUUGUGGGUCACCUGUGCCCGCUGGGCUGACCGCACAUCUUGGGCCGCCCCCUGGCCCAGUUGGUGCCCCCCGCCUGUGGCUCCUCGGCCUGAGGCCUCCCCCUCCUCCCAUCCCCCGUGGGCCUAGCCCAUCCUAACCCAACCCCUUCGCAUCGUUCUGGGCCCAGUCCGGCUCCCCGUGGCUAUUUAUGGAUCCCUCGUGGCGCCCGCGACCUAACCCUAGGGUUUCCUGCCUCCCGCUCCCAGAUCCGCCGCUUCUUCCACCUAGCCAGAUCUAUGUCCCUCCUUCCUCCUCCGCCCCCACUCUCCGUCUCCUUCGCCGCGGCGGUCAUGUCUCGCGAGCCGUCGGCCGACCGCAACGUCAAUGGCAAGCGACCGCUCGAGCAAGGGGCGGACGCGGCUGCCGAGCUGCAUUACGUGGCUGAGCUUCGGGCCAAGCUUCAGCGCGAUCUGGAGGCGCAGGAGCGGGAGCGGUGGGGGACGCCGCCGCCUUGGUUUCUCGAAGAGGAACGACGCAAGGCCGCCAUGGUCGUGCCCCCUCGUAGCCCAAUGCUGGUCGGGAGGGCGGUUGGGGUUCCACGGCGCCUGGCCCGUCUGCUGGUGCUGCUCCGGCUGGCCCUGGUCCUGACGACCACCCGCCGGGCUUCCCCAACGCCAACGCCUUCUCCUCCUCCGCCCCUCCUCUACUCCCACCCCACCUAGGCCGCCCAUCCCUCCCAUCCCGGUUGCUCCCUCGCCCGGCCCCAGUGACAACCGUCGUUUCGCGCCUCCGGGCCCUGAUCUGUAUCGGGGUUUCGGUGGGGCGGUCAGAUUUGGUGGUGCCUCUCACAACUUCAACAACAAUGGCGGCUUUGGUGGCUAGUCCGGUAACAAUUCCAAAGCUAUUAAAUUCCGUCCUCGUGAUCCUCCCGUGACGGGGGCCAGAGCUCGGGGGCUUUUGGUCCGGCCGUCCCUAUCUCUAAUCCUAGUUCUGGUGCUGCCCCUCCUCCUGCUGCGUCAGGGAUGACUUGCUUUGCCUGCCACCGCCCCGGCUACUUCCAGGUCGGGUGUAAAUUUCCACCCUUCUGUCUUAUCUGCCGCGCCGACGGCCACUUACUACUGAGUGUCCCAAUCGUCGUGCGCCCCCUCCUUCAAGAUGUUUGGCUAUGCCCUUCCUGGUUGUGGCUUCUUCGGCAUGGUUGGCUCGGCCGACAAUCUUGGCCCUCCUGUCGCCCCUCUCAACACUGCGGUCAUGCGAGUCUUGUCAGAUGAGGUUCCCAUCCAGCUUAUCUAGGACGAGCUCAAGGCUUGGGACGCGGAUGGCUGGGAUUGCCGUCUCGAGCAAUUAGGUCCGAAAGAAUUCUCUCUCAUCUUCCCUUCGCCUGAAAGCCUCACAUGGUGCUCUCGUGGGGCAAAUUUCACCUUGGCCAUUGACAACAUCUCUGUCAAAGUGGUGGCUGCCUCCUCUGAACGCAAAAGCUUCAACCAUCUUUCCGAUCAUUGGGUCCUCCUGGACGACGUUCCUCCAUUGCUUCGUAAUGCUCCUUCUAUGAUGGCCUUUGCUGAACUCAUUGGGAAGCCCAUUGAGGUGGACGAGGAAUCCAUUAGCCGCCCGGGCCCCGUGCGCGUGAAAGUCUGGUGUCGUUUUUCGGAGCGGAUUCGGGGCUUUCUGGAGAUUUAUCCUCACACCAAAGGCUUUCGCAUCAACAUGCGCCUGGAAACCCCCCCACUCCUUCCACCCCCAAAUUGCUGCUUCAUUCAAACCUGAUGACAAGAACAAUGAGGAUCCGAAGGGGGACCAAUCCAAAAACAAUGAUGGCAACUCUAGCGCCUCCCCCUUCUCGGAAUCAACAUGGAACAACAUGGGCUCGGUGGCUAGAGGGCUCUACCCAAACCGUAAGCCGACCCCCAAGGGCGAUCACAAUGAUGUUGUGGAGGGAAGCAAGGACUAAUUGGGUGUCUCUGUCGAUGGGUAUGUCUCAGUGUGCUCCAACAUGCCGGCGAGGCUAUCCUCUCCAUCCCUUUCCGGCAUCGUGGACUCGCCGGAGCCUGAGCUUGAGGGCUCUCCGAUUCGGGUGGCGGUCUGAUGUCUACUACACAACCUUCUUCUUGUAGACGUUGUCGGGCCUCCAAGUCCAGAUGUUUGUAGGACAGUAGCAAAUUUCCCUCAAGUGGAUGACCUAAGGUUUAUCAAUCCGUGGGAGUCAUAGGAUGAAGAUGGUCUCUCUCAAGCAACCCUGCAACCAAAUAACAAAGAGUCUCUUGUGUCCCCAACACACCCAAUACAAUGGUAAAUUGUAUAGGUGCACUAGUUCGGCGAAGAGAUGGUGAUACAAGUGCAAUAUGGAUGGUAGAUAUAGGUUUUUGUAAUCUGAAAAUACAAAAACAGCAAGGUAACUAAUGAUAAAAGUGAGCGAAAACGGUAUUGCAAUGCUUCGAAACAAGGCCUAGGGUUCGUACUUUCACUAGUGCAAGUUCUCUCAACAAUAAUAACAUAAUUGGAUCAUAUAACUAUCCCUCAACAUGCAACAAAGAGUCACUCCAAAGUCACUAAUAGCAGAGAACAAACGAAGAGAUUAUGGUAGGGUACGAAAUCACCUCAAAGUUAUCCUUUCUGAUUGAUCUAUUCAAGAGUCCGUAGUAAAAUAACACGAAGCUAUUCUUUCCGUUCGAUCUAUCAUAGAGUUCGUACUAGAAUAACACCUUAAGACACAAAUCAACCAAAACCCUAAUGUCACCUAGAUACUCCAAUGUCACCUCAAGUAUCCGUGGGUAUGAUUAUAUGAUAUGAAUCACACAAUCUCAGAUUCAUCUAUUCAAACCAACACAAAGUACUUCAAAGAGUGUCCCAAAGUUUCUACCGGAGAGUCAAGACGAAAACGUGUGCCAACCCCUAUGCAUAGGUUCAUGGGCGGAACCCGCAAGUUGAUCAUCAAAACAUACAUCAAGUGGAUCACGUGAUAUCCCAUUGUCACCACAGAUAAGCACGGCAAGACAUACAUCAAGUGUUCUCAAAUCCUUAAAGACUCAAUCUGAUAAGAUAACUUCAAAGGAAAAACUCAAUCCAUUACAAGAGAGUAGAGGGGGAGAAACAUCAUAAGAUCCAACUAUAAUAGCAAAGCUCCCGAUACAUCAAGAUCAUACCACCUCAAGAACACGAGAGAGAGAGAGAGAUCAAACACGUAGCUACUAGUACAUACCCUCAGCCCCGAGGGUGAACUACUCCCUCCUCGUCAUGGAGAGCGCCGGGAUGAUGAAAAUGGCCACCGAUGAGGGAUUCCCCCUCCGGCAGGGUGCCAGAACAGGGUCCCGAUAUGUUUUUGGUGGCUACAGAGGCUUGCGGCGGCGGAACUCCCGAUCUAUUCUGUUCCCCGAAGUUUUUAGGGUAUAUGGAUAUAUAUAGGCGAAAGAAGUCGGUCAGGGAAGCCACAAGGGGCCCACGAGGGUGGAGGGCGUGCCCAGGGGGGUGGGCGCGCCCCCUGCCUCGUGCCUUCCUCGUUGCUUCCCUGACGUAUACUCCAAGUCUCAUGGAUUGCUUCCGUUCCAAAAAUAACUCUCCCAAAGGUUUCAUUCCGUUUGGAUUCCGUUUGAUAUUCCUUUUCUUCGAAACACUGAAAUAGGCAAGAAAACAACAAUUUGGGCUGGGCCUCCAGUUAAUAGGUUAGUCCCAAAAAUAAUAUAAAAGUGUAUAAUAAAGCCCAUAAACAUCCAAAACAGAUAAUAUAAUAGCAUGAAUACUUCAUAAAUUAUAGAUACGUUGGAGACGUAUCAACGUCCUCAAGCUUAAUUCCUGCUCGUCCUCGAGUAGGUAAAUGAUAAAAGAAAUAAUUUAUGAAGUGUGAAUGCUAGCAGGUGCACAAGUUUGAUCAAUGAUAAUUUCAAUCACCUUUUCUAGCAUCAUUAUAUAUCAUAACAGUAGCUCAACUCAUAGAACUUCUCAUGAUCAAGUAACAAGCUAUUCACAUGUUAAAGUAUAGAUCAUAAACUUUCUUGAAAACUAACAAACCAUGUUAUCGGUCAUCAAACAAUUACAAUUCAUCUUAUUUUCAGGAGGAGUCUAUGUCAGAGUUUUGAUUUAGCAAAUCCCACAUACUCAACUAUCAUAUAGUCUUCCAUGAUUCCUACCACUCAAAGCAUAUUUUUAGAACAAAUAGUAUUCAUUGAACACAGAGAAAGAUAGGGGCUUAAUGUUUCGCCUCCCAACCUUUUACCUCAAGGGUAAUGUCAACAAUAAUAAUUCAUGAUCAAAUAUAUUUGAAUGUCCAUAUAUGCUUAGAUCUUUCCAUCACAUGAUGCUUGCCAACUAAAGAGUAGGUUGGAAUGAGAAGGAAUACUACCGACUCUUGCAUAAAAGUAAAAGAUAGGCCCUUCACAGAGGGAAGCAGGGAUUUGCAGAGGUGCCAGAGCUCGAAGCUAAAACAGAGAUGAAAAUAAAUUUGAGAGGUAUGCUUUCAUUGUCAACAUAACAACCAAGAAUCCCAAUAUCUUCCAUACUAGAUACGUUAUAGGUGUUUCCCACGCAGAAAGGUAAAGUUUUUACUCCCCCUCCACCAACAUUCACACUCCAAGGCUUUUCCAAAACAAUGGGUGCCGUCCAACUAUCAACAUUCCUGGGGGAGUUUUGUUUAAAUUAUUUGCGAAUUUGUUUUUGAUCUUUUGAUCAUAGGACCGGGCAUCCCAGUUACCAGCCAUUUUCUCGUGAAUGAUGAGCGGAGUCCACUCAUCGUGAGAAUAACCCACCUAGCAUGGAAGAUACUGAUAGCCCCUAGUCGCUACAUGAGCGAUUCUGGCAUACAAAACAGAUUAUUAUUUGAAGGUUUAGAGUUUGGCACAUGCAAAUUUACUUGGAACGACAGGUAAGUACCGCAUAUAGGUAGAUAUGGUGGACACUCAUGGAAGAAACUUGGUUCAAGGCGUUUGGAUGCACAAGCAGUAUUCCCGCUUAGUAUAGAUAUUUUGGCUAGCAAAGGAUUCUAAAUAGCAAGCACCACAUGUUAGAGGAUCCAUAACAAUAUAACUUCUAUACAAAUAUACCCAAGCAUAACUCAUUGUGUUGUCUUCCUUGUCCAACUUCAACUAAUUUGCUCAGGUUUGAAAAUAAUUAAUGGUGCUCACAAUCAUAGAAGAUGUCCAAGAUAGUAUUAUAUGUGAAAUCUCUCUUCCUUCAAUAUUCUUUCAUGAAUUGUUCAAGUGACCAAUACAACGUUUGCUAACCUUCAAUAAAUUUACCACCUCUACUUCUUAUAUGUAAAGUCAUUACUCCCCAUGGGAUAAGCAUAUGAAACAUAUAUAAUUUCAGAUUUACGAUAUUCAAUUCAUUCAACCAUUUACUCAUAGGAUAUAAGUGAAGCACACGAGUAAAUGGCAAACUACUUCAAAAAGAUAUAAGUGAAGAUCAAUGAGUAGUUAAAUAAUUAUGUAGCUAUGUGAAGACUCUCUCUCAUUUAAGAAUUUCAGAUCUUGGUAUUUUAUUCAAACAGCAAUCAAGUCUAAAGAAAAUAAAAUGACGCUCCAAGCAAAACACAUAUCAUGUGGUGAAUAAAAAUAUAGCUCCAAGUAAAGUUACUGAUGAACGAAGACGAAAGAGGGGAUGCCAUCCGGGGCAUCCCCAAGCUUAGGCUUUUGGUUGUCCUUGAAUAUUACCUUGGGGUGCCUUGGGAAUCUCCAAGCUUAGGCUUUUGCCACUCCUUAUUCCAUAGUCCAUCGAAUCUUUACCCAAAACUUGAAAACUUCACAACACAAAACUUAACAGAAAAUCUCGUGAGCUCCGUUAGCGAAAGAAAACAAAACACCACUUCAAGGUACUGUAAUGAAAUCAUUAUUUAUUCAUAUUGGUGUUAAAUCUACUGUAUUCCAACUUCUCUAUGGUUUAUAAACUAUUUUACUAGCCAUAGAUUCAUCAAAAUAAGCAAAUGACACACUAGAAUCUGUCAAAAACAGAACAUUCUGUAGUAAUCUGUAACUAACGCAAACUUCUGGAACUCAAUAAAUUCUACCAAAAUAGGAAGACCUAGAUAAUUUGUUUAUUGAUCUACUGCAAUUGGAAUCAGUAUUUUAUCACGUUCUGGUGAUUUUUAACAAUUAUUUUCGUGAGCAGAAAGUUUCUGUCUUUUUCAGCAAGAUCAAAUAAUUAUCAUCCAAGAAGAUCCUAUAGGUCUUACUUGGCACAAACACUAAUUAAAACACAAAACUACAUCUAAACAGAAGCUAGAUGGAAAAUUUAUUACUAAACAGAACCAAAAAGCAAGAAACAAAAAUAAAAUUGGGUUGCCUCCCAACAAGCGCUAACGUUUAAGGCCCCUAGCUAGGCAUGAUGAUUUCAAUGAUGCUCGUAUAAAAGAUAAGAAUUGAAACAUAAAGAGAGCAUCAUGAAACACAUGGCAAGCACAUUUAAGUCUAACCCACUUCCUAUGCAUAGGGAUUUUGUGAGCAAACAACUUAUGGGAACAAUAAUCAACUAGCAUAGGAAGGCAAAACAAGCAUAACUUCAAAACUUCAAGCACAUAGAGAGGAAACUCAAUAUUAUUGCAAUUCCUACAAGCAUAUGUUCCUCACUCAUAAUAAUUUUUAGUAGCAUCAUGAAUGAAUUCAACAAUAUAACCUGCACCUAAAGCAUUCUUUUCAUGAUCUACAAGCAUAGAAUUUUUACUACUCUCAACAUAAGCAAAAUUCUUCUCAUUCGGAAUAGUGCGAGUAUCAUAAGAGACUUGAAUACUAUAAAUUGUUUCUGCAUUAAAUGAGUAAUGUUCAGAAAAAGGGUAAUCAUAAUCAUGACAAGUUUUAUAAAUAUAAUCAUCACUACUCUUUAUAGCAUAAGUUUCAUCACAAUAAUCAUCAUAAGUAGCAACUUUGUUCUCAUCAUAAUCAAUUGAAACCUCUUCCGAAAUAGUGGAUUCAUCACUAAAUAAAGUCAUGACCUCUCCAAAUCCACUUUCAUAAAUAUUAUAAGAUUCAACAUCCUCCAAAAUAGUGGGAUCAUUACUUCCUAAAGUUGACACUCUUCCAAACCCACUUUCAUCAAUAUAAUCAUCAUAGGUAGAAGGCAUGCUAUCAUCAUAACAAAUUUGCAUAUCAAAACUUGGGAGGCUAAAAAUAUCAUCUUCAUUAAACAUAGCAUCCCCAAGCUUGGGACAAACAUUAAUUGCAGCAAAUAUAUUCUCAAAUAUGUCAUCCUCAUCAAACAUAGCUUCCCCAAGCUUGGGCCUUUUCAUAUCAUAAGCAUAAUCACUCUCAUCAUUAAUAGUGUGGAUAGCACCAAUAGUAUAACAAUUAUCAUCAUCACAAUGAGUAGUAGGAGCAACAUCAUUUGGGAGGGAUACCUUUUUACCUUUGCUUCUCCGUCUUUUCUUUUUCUUCUUCACAUCAUGUGUGGGUUCAAUCCUCUUUUUUGAGCUUUUUAUUGAUGAGAUUGGUUGAAUAGAAAGCUCCUCCUCGUUACCUGAUUCAUCAUAAGAAAUAAUAGGAGGAUAUUGGGAAGUCUCUUCCCUUUCAUUAGUGUUCUCUUCAUCUUCUAUUUGCUUUCUUUUCUUUAUGUAAUUGGCAAUAUAAGUAUUUUCAAUGCAAUUCACCGCACAAUACAUAUAAAUCUUCUCUAGAUCAAAAUCAAGAAAUCUAUCAAGAUUAAAUUUUGGAAUACCCUCAGUUAUACGUUUCAUUUCUUCAUACCCCAAAAGAAGACUAAGCUCUUUAUGAUGCUCAAGGGUAAUCAAAUUAUCACAAUUUUUGGACACGAUUUGCUCAUGAAACAAAUAUCAUUGGAGCUUUAAAUGACCAUGUUCAUUGCAUAGUUCACAAGGAUGGCGAAAAAUAUUGAAUCUUUCAGCACAAACAUCAAGCCUUUCUUGCAACAAUUUAGUUUCUAAAUGCUUAUGCCUCUUGCAAUAUCUAUCUUCCCUAUUUGGUGUGUACUUGCAAACCCAAUGCACUCCACAAAAAUUGACAUGCUUAUAGGAGACAUUUUCAUCAUAACUAGUGCAAUCAUCAUUAGUACUAUGGAUAUUCAAAGAGUUCAUACUAACAACAUUGCAAUCACCCUCAUCAUUCAAAGAUUUAGUGCCAAACAUUUUAUAGACAUCUUCUUCUAGCACUUGAGCACAAUUUUCCUUUCCAUCAUUCUCACGAAAAAUAUUAAAAAGAUGAAGCGUAUGAGGCAAACUCAAUUCCAUUUUUUUGUAGUUUUAUUUUAUAAACUAACUAGUGAUAAAACAAGAAACUAAAAGAUUCGAUUGCAAGAUCUAAAGAUAUACCUUCAAGCACUCACCUCCCCGGCAACGGCGCCAGAAAAGAGCUUGAUGUCUACUACACAACCUUCUUCUUGUAGACGUUGUCAGGCCUCCAAGUGCAGAGGUUUGUAGGACAGUAGCAAUUUUCCCUCAAGUGGAUGACCUAAGGUUUAUCAAUCCGUGGGAGGCGUAGGAUGAAGAUGGUCUCUCUCAAGCAACCCUGCAACCAAAUAACAAAGAGUCUCUUGUGUCCCCAACACACCCAAUACAAUGGUAAAUUGUAUAGGUGCACUAGUUCGGCGAAGAGAUGGUGAUACAAGUGCAAUAUGGAUGGUAGGUAUAGGUUUUUGUAAUCUGAAAAUAUAAAAACAGCAAGGUAACUAAUGAUAAAAGUGAGAGAAAACGGUAUUGCAAUGCUUCGAAACAAGGCCUAGGGUUCAUACUUUCACUAGUGCAAGUUCUCAACAAUAAUAACAUAAUUGGAUCAUAUAACUAUCCCUCAACAUGCAACAAAGAGUCACUCCAAAGUCACUAAUAGCAGAGAACAAACGAAGAGAUUAUGGUAGGGUACGAAAUCACCUCAAAGUUAUCCUUUCUGAUCGAUCUAUUCAAGAGUCCGUAGUAAAAUAACAUGAAGCUAUUCUUUUCGUUCGAUCUAUCAUAGAGUUCGUACUAGAAUAACACCUUAAGAUACAAAUAAACCAAAACCCUAAUGUCACCUAGAUACUCCAAUGUUACCUUAAGUAUCCGUGGGUAUGAUUAUACGAUAUGCAUCACACAAUCUCAGAUUCAUCUAUUCAAACCAACACAAAGUACUUCAAAGAGUGCCCCAAAGUUUCUACCGGAGAGUCAAGACGAAAACGUGUGCCAACCCCUAUGCAUAGGUUCAUGGGCGGAACCCGCAAGUUGAUCACCAAAACAUACAUCAAGUGGAUCACGUGAUAUCCCAUUGUCACCACAGAUAAGCACGGCAAGACAUACAUCAAGUGUUCUCAAAUCCUUAAAGACUCAAUCCGAUAAGAUAACUUCAAAGGAAAACUCAAUCCAUUACAAGAGAGUAGAGGGGGAGAAACAUCAUAAGAUCCAACUAUAAUAGCAAAGCUCGCGAUACAUCAAGAUCGUACCACCUCAAGAACAUGAGAGAGAGAGAGAUCAAACACAUAGCUACUGGUACAUACCCUCAGCCCCGAGGGUGAACUACUCCCUCCUCGUCAUGGAGAGCGCCGGGAUGAUGAAGAUGGCCACCGGUGAGGGAUUCCCCCUCCGGCAGGGUGCCGGAACAGGGUCCCGAUUGGUUUUUGGUGGCUACAAAGGCUUGCGGCGGCGGAAAACUCCCGAUCUAUUCUGUUCCCCGAAGUUUUUAGGGUAUAUGGAUAUAUAUAGGCGAAAAAGUCGGUCAGGGAAGCCACGAGGGGCCCACGAGGGUGGAGGGCGCGCCCGGAGGGGGUGGGCGCGCCCCCUGCCUCGUGCCUUCCUCGUUGCUUCCCUGACAUAUACUCCAAGUCUCCUGGAUUGCUUCCGUUCCAAAAAUAACUCUCCCGAAGGUUUCAUUCCAUUUGGACUCCGUUUGAUAUUUCUUUUCUUCGAAACACUGAAAUAGGCAAGAAAACAACAAUUUGGGCUGGCCUCCGGUUAAUAGGUUAGUCCCAAAAAUAAUAUAAAAUUGUAUAAUAAAGCCCAUAAAUAUCCAAAACAGAUAAUAUAAUAGCAUGAAUACUUCAUAAAUUAUAGAUACGUUGGAGACGUAUCACGGUCGAUCCCCUCAAGGCGCUCAAUCUGUCACCUCGCUCCAGGGCGGAGGUGGGCUAGGUGAGCCCCCCCUGGGAGUUCUCGGCAGACAAGUUCAAGGAGAUGAGGGACCAGCUCGAGGAGUUCGUUGAAGAUGUAGAGGAGGAACCGGUCUCUGCAUCGACUGGUGUGAAGAUCACGACCCCCACCUCCACUGCCCGCAAAAGCUCGCGCAUCCAGUGCUCGGGCGAGACGGCUAUGCAGAGGGCAGAGCGGGUGGCGGCCGCCAAAAACCUCGACCCUCCAGGUACUUCCAUUCCCCCAGUGUUUACGGUUCUUGACAAGCUUGCCGAUGAUCAUUUGUUGCGUGUUGCACAUGAUUCAUGUAUUCGAUUUAAUCCCAUUAAUACUGCCUCGAUUUCCCCCUCUGAAUUCCUAUCUGUUAUCCGUGCCAGUGAGGUGGCCCAUGCUACGCUUGCUGCGGCUAAGGCCGCUGUUGCCAUUCCCCCGCCGGAGUCCCCCGGACUUGCUCUAGGUGUUGUGGCACCUACUCAGCUGGUGCCGGACGGUUGUGGCCGUCCGGCCACCGUACGUAGAAAGAAUCGCCGUGCGGCGUCUGGUCUAGUCCCAUGCAGGUCCAGCUUGUGCAUCAAAAACCUAUAUUGCAGAUGAAAGUCCUAUUCUGGAACAUCCGUGGUUUCGGUGCUCGGGGGUGCCGCGACCAACUUUGAGACCUUAUUAGCUCCGUUAAACCUGAUGUUAUUUGUCUUCAGGAGACUAUCAAAUCCGACUUCCGCCCUCAGGAUCUAAAUUCGCUUUCUUCAGUUAAUUUCUCCUGGGCUUGGUCCCCACUAUCGGGCUGUCUGGGGCUUGUUAAUUGGGACAUGCAAUGAUUCCUGCGAUCUGAUCUCCACUGCCCUGGAACGGUUCUUUAUCAGCGCGAAUAUCAAGUGCAAAUACGAUAACUUCACGUGGGAGUUGCUUAAUGUUUAGGGCCCAGCGGAUCACUCCCUCGCCCUCGUCUUCCUUAAUGAGUUGUUCUCUAAGUUAGCAAAUUCCAACAUACCUGUGUUGGUCGGAGGGGACUUUAACUUGCAUCGAGACCCGGCGGACAAGAAUAACUCUAAUUUCAAUUGGCACCUCGCCCACUACUUUAACAACUGCAUCAGCUCCGCCGCUCUCCGGGAAAUUCCUAGAGUUGGGGCUCGCUUCACUUGGUCUAAUAGACAACUCAACCCCGUGUGUUGCGUUCUGGAUAGAGUCUUUAUGUCGAUGGACUGGGAGGCCCACUUUCCGCUCGUCGCCCUCUCUUCACGUCCUAGCAUUAGGUCGGACCACACGCCGCUUGUGGUGGACGGUGGUGCUAGGGCCACACCACCCUCGUCUCGGUUCCACUUUGAAACCAGUUGGCUUCUUAAUGAGACCUUCAAACCUCUUGCGAUCAGCAAAUGGGCUGCGCUUGAGAGCAAAUGCACCAGGUCCUUUGGCCCUCUGGAUGAUUGGAGAUUUUGCUCCCAGAAGCUUCGACAAUUCCUUCGUGGUUGGAGUGCUAACUGUCGGGCUGAGGCCCUUCGCGCCAAAGCCGCUCUUUCCUCCCAGAUCAAAACUCUUGACGCCCUGGCCGAUUCCGCGGGCCUAGACGCUGCCGGUUGGGAUAAUCAAUACUUUAUUGAGUCCCAGUUAGUUAACCUCCACCAUGCGGAUGAGGUGUAUUGGCAGCAGCGAUGUAACAUCAUGUGGAUCCUCAGGGGGGAUGCUAACACUGCUUAUUUCCAGGCCAUUGCUAAUGGCCGGCGUCGUCGUUCAAACAUCUCCUCCCUGAUUAUUAAUGGCUUGUCCUGUUCUGAUAUUCAGACCAUUUCCAGACACAUUUAUGACUCCUAUUCUUCUCUCCUAGGAUGCCGCCCAGACCCUGGUAUUAGUUUGGCUUCAAAUGCUUCGACAGGGGACCAAUGUGUCUUUGAGGAUGAUAAUGGCUUUCUCUUGUCUCCUCUGUCGACCGAGGAUAUUGAUGCUUCGGUGGCCACAUCGAAGUCGUCUUCGGCCCCUGGCCCGGACGGGUUCUCGAUCCCCUUCUUCAAAGCCUUCUGGCCCACCCUCAAACCACUCAUGUACCGCAUCUUCUAGGGGUUCUCCCUUGGCACGGUCGACAUCUCUCGGCUGAAUUAUGCCACCCUCACUCAAAGGUCAAAGGGGCAGAUAACAUCAAGCUCUUCUGAACCAUUGCUCUUAUUAACAACAUUGCUAAGUUCCCUUCCAAAGCUGUGACGCCCCCGAUUCAAUCAUACACUAAUCAUGCACGCAAACGUGUACGAUCAAGAUCAGGGACUCACGGGAAGUGAUAACCCACAAGUAUAGGGGAUCGCAACAGUUUUCGAUAAGUAAGAGUGUCGAACCCAACGAGGAGCUAAAGGUAGAACAAAUAUUCCCUCAAGUUCUAUCGACCACCGAUACAACUCUACGCACACUUGACGUUCGCUUUACCUAGAACAAGUAUGAAACUAGAAGUACUUUGUAGGUGUUUUUGGAUAGGCUUGCAAGAAAGUAAAGAGCACGUAAAUAAAAGCUAGGGGCUGUUAAAGUAAAGACACAACUAAAGUAAAUAUAGCGAGUGUGGAAAAGUGGUGGUAGGAGUUGCGAAAUUGUCCCUAAGCAAUUGACUACUUUACUAGACCGAUAACAAGUUUCAUGUGGGAGAGGCCACUGCUAGCAUGUCAUCCCUUACUUGGAAUUCUAUGCACUUAUGAUUGGAACUAUUAGCAAGCGUCCGCAACUACUAACGUUCAUUAAGGUAAAACUCAACCAUAGCAUUAAGAUAUAUUGGUCCCCCUUCAAUCACGUAUGCAUCAAUUUCUAUGCUAGGCUGAAGCUUCUGUCACCCUUGCCCUCCAAUACAUAGUCCUAUUAACAUACAACUAACCCUAUGGUGUGAUCCACGCACGCGCUCAUAUGAUGGGCACCAAAGGACAUCAACAUAACCACAAGCAAAUUAAAUCAAUCAUAGCAAUUCAUCAACCACCGAUAGGACAACGAAAAUCUACUCAGGCAUCAUAGGAUGGCAACACAUCAUUGGAUAAUAAUAUGAAGCAUAAAGCACCAUGUUCAAGUAGAGGGUACAACGGGUUGCGGGAGAGUGGACCGCUGUAGAUAGAGGGGGAAGGUGAUGGAGAUGUUGGUGAAGAUGGCGGAGGUGUUGGUGAAGAUCGCGGUGAUGAUGAUGGUGGCCACGACAGCGUUCCGGCGCCACCGGAGGAGAGGGGGAGAGGGGCCCCCUUCUUCCUCUUCUUCCUUGACCUCCUCCCUAGAUGGGAGAAGGGUUUCCCCUCUGGUCCUUGGCCUCCAAGGCAUGGGAGGGGCGAGAGCCCCUCCGAGAUUGGAUCUGUCUCUCUGUCUCUCUCUGUUUCUGCGUUCUGUUCUGCUGCCCUUUCACCGUUUCGUAUAUAUAUGGAGAUCCGUAACUACGAUUGGACUGAAACCUUCGCCGUGAUUUUUUUUACCAAAAAUUAGCUUUCUUGCGGCCGAAGAUGGGCAUCAACCGCCUUAUGGGUGGCCCACGAGGGUCAGGGGCGCGCCCAGGGGGGCAGGCACGCCCCCCUGCCUCGUGGCCACCUCGGGCACUGUUUCGCGUUGAUCUUUCUCCCAGAUUUUCCAAAUAUUCCAAAAAUAAGCUCCGUCCGUUUUUAUCCCGUUUGGAUUCUGUUUGAUAUGGAUAUUCUGCGAAACCAAAAACAUGCAACAGACAGGAACUGGCACUGGGCACUGGAUCAAUAUGUUAGUCCCAAAAAUAAUAUAAAAAGUUGCCAAAAGUAUGUGAAAGUUGUAGAAUAUUGGCAUGGAACAAUAAAAAAUUAUAGAUACGACGGAGACGUAUUAGCAUCCCCAAGCUUAAUUCCUGCUCGUCCUCGAGUGAUAAAAAAGAUAAUUUUUGAUGUGGAAUGCUACCUAGCAUAAUCUUGAUCAUGUAUCUAAUCAUGGCAUGAAUAUUAAGACACGAGUGAUUCAAAGCAAUAGUCUAUCAUUUGACAUAAAAAUAAUAAUACUUCAAGCAUACCAACCAAGCAAUUAUGUCUUAUCGAAAUAACAUAGCCAAAGAAAGCUCAUCCCUACAAAAUCAUAUAGUCUGGCUAUGCUCCAUCUUCACCAUACAAAGCAUUCAAAUCAUGCACAACCCUGAUGACAAGCUGAGCAAUUGGUUCAUACUUUUUAACGCGCUUCAGCUUUUUCAACCCUCACGCAAUACAUGAGCGUAAGCCAUGGAUAUAGCACUAUAGGUGGAAUAGCAUAUGAUGAUGGAGGUUGUGUGGAGAAGACAAAAAAAGGAGAAAGUCUCACAUCGACGCGGCUAAUCAACGGGCUAUGGAGAUGCCCAUCAAUUGAUGUCAAUGCGAGGAGUAGGGAUUGCCAUGCAACGGAUGCACUAAGAGCUAUAAGUGUAUGAAAGCUCAAACUGGAAACUAAGUGGGUGUGCAUCCAACUUGCUUGCUCAUGAAGACCUCGGGCAUUUGAGGAAGCCCAUCAUCGGAAUAUACAAGCCAAGUUCUAUAAUGAAAAAUCCCACUAGUAUAUGAAAGUGAUAACUCAAGAGACCCUCUAUAUGAAGAACAUGGUGCUACUCUGAAGCACAAGUGUGGUAAAAGGACAGUAACAUUGCCCCUUCUCUCUUUUUCUCUCAUUUUUUUUUCAUUUUUUUGUGGGCUUCUUUCGCCUCUUUUUUUAUUUGGGCUUCUUUGGCCUCUUUUAUUUAUUGUUAAAGUCCGGAGUCUCAUCCCGACUUGUGGGGGAAUCAUAGUCUCCAUCAUCCUUUCCUCACUGAGGCAAUGCUCUAAUAAUGAUGAUCAUCACACUUUUAUUUACUUACAACUCGAUACUACAACUCGAUACUAGAACAAAGAUAUGAAUCUAUAUGAAUGCCUCCGGCGGUGUACCGGGAUGUGCAAUGAUCUAGCGUAGCAAUGACAUCAAAAAACGGACAAGCCAUGAAAACAUCAUGCUAGCUAUCUUACGAUCAUGCAAAGCAAUAUGACAAUAAAUGCUCGAGUCAUGUAUAUGAUGAUGAUGGAAGUUGCAUGGCAAUAUAUCUCGGAAUGGCUAUGGAAAUGCCAUGAUAGGUAGGUAUCGUGGCUGUUUUGAGGAAGAUAUAAUGAGGCUUAUGUGUGAUAGAGCGUAUCGUAUCACGGGGUUUGGAUGCACCGGCGAAGUUUGCACCAACUUUCGAGGUGAGAAAGGGUAAUGCACGGUACCGAAGAGGCUAGCAAUGAUGGAAGGGUGAGAGUGCGUAUAAUCCAUGGACUCACAUUAGUCAUAAAGAACUCAUAUACUUAUUGCAAAAGUUUAUUAGCCCUCGAAGCAAAGUACUACUACGCAUCCCCUAGGGGGGUAGAUUGGUAGGAAAAGACCAUCGCUCGUCCCCGACCGCCACUCAUAAGGAAAGCAAUGAAAGAACACCUCAUGCUCCGACUUCGUUACAUAAUGGUUCACCAUACGUGCAUGCUACGGGACUUGCAAACCUCAACACAAGUAUUCCUCAGUUUCACAAUUACUCAACUAGUACGACUCUAAUAUCACCACCUUUAUAUCGCAAAACCAUUGCAAGGAAUCAAACAUAUCAUAUUCAGUGAUCUACAAGUUUUAUGUAGGAUUUUAUGACUAACCAUGUGAAUGACAAGUUCCUGUCAUCUCUCUAAAUAGAUAUAAGUGAAGCAAGAGAGUUUAAUUCUUUGUACAAAAGAUAUGCCCACGCUCCAACAAAUAUAAGUGAAGCAAAAGAGCAUUCUACAAAUGGCGGUUGUCUAAGUGAAGAGAAAUAGGCAAUCCAAACUUCAAAUGAUAUAAGUGAAGCACAUGAAGCAUUCUAUAAAGCCAUACUCAAAAGAUAUAAGUGAAGUGCAAAGAGCAUUCUAUAAAUCAACCAAGGACUAUCUCAUACCAGCAUGGUGCAUAGAAGAAAAGUGAAAACUAAAUACAAAAGACGCUCCAAGAUUGCACAUAUCGCAUGAACGAAACGAAUCCGAAAACAUACCGAUACUUGUUGAAGAAAGAGGGGAUGCCUUCUGGGGCAUCCCCAAGCUUAGACGCUUGAGUCUCCUUGAAUAUUUACUUGGGGUGCCUCGGGCAUCCCCAAGCUUGAGAUCUUGCCUCUCUUCCUUCUUCUCCCAUCGAAACCUUCUCGAUCAUCGAACACUUCAUCCACACAAAACUUCAACAGAAAACUCGGUAAGAUCCGUUAGUAUAAUAAAGCAAAUCAUCACUCUAAGUGCUGUUGCAAACAAAUUCAUAUUUUGUUUUUGCAUUGUGUCUACUGUAAUAUAACUUUUUCAUGGCUUAAUCCACUGAUAUAAAUCGAUAGUUUCAUCAAAACAAGCAAACUAUGCAUCAAAAACAGAAUCUGUCUAAAACAGAACAGUCUGUAACAAUCUGAAGAUUCACCAUACUUUUGAUACUUGAAAAAUUCUGCAAAAAUUAGGAAAAAUAAAAAAUUUGCACAUAAAGACAAUGCAAAAAGAAUCAGAACCAUUUGACGUUCCAGUAAAAAAUGUAAAAUCGUGCACUACAGCCAAAGUUUCUGUCCUGCACCGCACAAACCAACAAGCCUUGUCAACAUCCUAAAGGCAAACCUUGGCACAUUAUUUUUAUUUUUAAGCUUUAUAAAAGCACACAACAGAAAUAAAUGACUCUCUAAAACUUCAGGGUUGUCUCCCUGGCAGCGGUUUCUUUAAAGCCAUUAAGCUAGGCAUAUGGUGCUCAAGUAAUGGAUCCAUCCGGAUCCCAAGGUAUAUCAAAGCCAAUUUUAAUUAACAAUGAUUUGUAAUUUAGUAAUGAGCACAAGGCAAUAUAUAUCAUGCAACAACGAAUUAUAACUCUCUUCCUAUGCAUCGGCAUGUCAUAAAAGAACAAUUCAUGCACACAUAGUAAAGGCCAAUGCAUAGUAUAAACAGUUUCUUGCAAUUUUAUCGUGUUGGAAAUAUACAGAGGUGGAGAUAUAGUUCCUCUCUCAUAAUAAUUGCAAGUAGGAGCAUCAAGCACAUGCAUAUUAUAUUCAUCAAAAUCAUCUUGUGCAACGGUAAAAGGCAAUCCAUCAAUAUAAUCCUUAAUAAGGGCAAACUUCUCUGAUAUAGUGUAGUUUGGAGAAUUCAAAAAGAUAAUAGGACUAUCAUGUGUGGGUGCAACAACAACAAUUUCAUGUUUAACAUAAGGAACUAUAGCAAUUUCAUCUCCAUAAGCAUAAUUCAUAUUGGCAUCUUGGCCACAAGCAUAUCAAGCAUCAUCAAAAAGGGAUAUUUCAAGAGAAUCAAUGAGAUCAUAACAAUCAUCAUAGCAUUCAUCCUUCGGUAAGCACGAAGGGAAAUUAAACAAUGUAUGAGUUGAAGGGUCACUCUCAUUAGAAGGUGGGCACGGGUAGCUAAUCCGCUCUUCCUCCUUUUGUUCUUCGCUCUCCUCAUCAUCUUUUUCAUCCAAUGAGCUCACAGUUUCAGUAAUUUCUUCUUCCAUAGACUCCUGCAAAAUAUUAGUCUCUUCUUGGACAGCGGGGUAAUCCUCAAUAUAUGGUUCAACAUAGGCAUUAGAAGCAUAAUUAUCAUAGCAAUAUUUAAGUAUGACAAAAUUUUCAGACUUGUAAAGAGUAGCAUCAUACGUUUCAAUCAAAGAAGCAAUUUCAUAAGCACCCUUAAAAGCAACAAAUUCUUCAAUUUGUUGAACAUCAUAGUAACUAUAAACACCUUUAGCAUACGAAGAUAAGAUUCCAUUAUCAAUAAACUCACAUUGGUGGGGAAGGUGUUUCUUAGGGUUUUUAGAACAACAAGUAACAUCAUACAUAUACCAUAAAUUCCAAGCAUAGCAUUGCAAACGAUGAAUUUGACCUAGUAAAAGUUUCCCUUUUUCAGAUAUACGGUGUCGCACAUAACAAGCAUGCUCAUCUAAAGGUUUGCCCUCAACUAAGCUAGUUGGGGUUUCAGCACGAGCACAAAGGGAUCGAAGAUGAUCCAAGUAAAAAGCUUCAGGAGUGUGAUAGAUUUUGAGUGGUUCUUCAACCAUUGGUUCAGUAGGUACAACUAAUUUUUUUGGUAUUUUGCGUUUCCUACCCAUAACUAAAGAUAGAAAACAACUAAGAACAACAAAUAAAAAUUACUUAGUGACAAAGCAAACAAGCACACACGAGAAUAUUCACCCCACGCUAUGACUCCCCGGCAACGGCGCCAGAAAAAGGUCUUGAUAACCCAAAAGUAUAGGGGAUCGCAACAGUUUUCGAUAAGUAAGAGUGUCGAACCCAACGAGGAGCUAAAGGUAGAACAAAUAUUCCCUCAAGUUCUAUCGACCACCGAUACAACUCUACGCACGCUUGACGUUCGCUUUACCUAGAACAAGUAUGAAACUAGAAGUACUUUGUAGGUGUUUCUGGAUAGGCUUGCAAGAAAGUAAAGAGCACGUAAAUAAAAGCUAGGGGCUGUUAAAGUAAAGACACAACUAAAGUAAAUAUAGCGAGUGUGGAAAAGUGGUGGUAGGAGUUGCGAAAUUGUCCCUAAGCAAUUGACUACUUUACUAGACCGAUAGCAAGUUUCAUGUGGGAAAGGCCACUGAUAGCAUGUCAUCCCUUACUUGGAAUUCUAUGCACUUAUGAUUGGAACUAUUAGCAAGCGUCCGCAACUACUAACGUUCAUUAAGGUAAAACCCAACCAUAGCAUUAAGAUAUAUUGGCCCCCCUUCAAUCCCGUAUGCAUCAAUUUCUAUGCUAGGCUGAAGCUUCUGUCACCCUUGCCCUCCAAUACAUAGUCCUAUUAACAUACAACUAACCCUAUGGUGUGAUCCACGCGCGCGCUCAUAUGAUGGGCACCAAAGGACAGCAACAUAACCACGAGCAAAUUAAAUCAAUCAUAGCAAUUCAUCAACCACCGAUAGGACAACGAAAAUCUACUCAGACAUCAUAGGGUGGCAACACAUCAUUGGAUAAUAAUAUGAAGCAUAAAGCACCAUGUUCAAGUAGAGGGUACAGUGGGUUGCGGGAGAGUGGACCGCUGUAGAUAGAGGGGGGAAGGUGAUGGAGAUGUUGGUGAAGAUGGCAGAGGUGUUGGUGAAGAUUGCGAUGAUGAUGAUGGUGGCCACGGCAGCGUUCCGGUGCCACCGGAGGAGAGGGGGAGAGGGGCCCCCUUCUUCCUCUUCUUCCUUGACCUCCUCCCUAGAUGGGAGAAGGGUUUCCCCUUUGGUCCUUGGCCUCCAUGGCAUGGGAGGAUUAGAGCCCCUCCGAGAUUGGGUCUGUCUCUCUGUCUCUCUGUUUCUGCGUUCUGUUCUGCUGCCCUUUCACCGUUUCGUAUGUAUAUGGAGAUCCGUAACUCCGAUUGGACUGAAACCUUCGCCGUGAUUUUUUUACCAAAAAUUAGCUUUCUUGCGGCCGAAGAAGGGCAUCAACCGCCUUACGGGUGGCCCAUGAGGGUCAGGGGCGCGCCCAGGGGGGGCAGGCGCGCCCCCCUGCCUCGUGGCCACCUUGGGCAUUGUUUCGCGUUGAUCUUUCUCCCAGAUUUUCCAAAUAUUCCAAAAAUAAGCUCCGUCCGUUUUUAUCCCGUUUGGAUUCCGUUUGAUAUGGAUAUUCUGCGAAACCAAAAACAUGCAACAGACAGGAACUGGCACUGGGCAAUGGAUCAAUAUGUUAGUCCCAGAAAUAAUAUAAAAAGUUGCCAAAAGUAUGUGAAAGUUGUAGAAUAUUGGCAUGGAACAAUAAAAAAUUAUAGAUACGACGAAGACGUAUCAGCAAGAUAUCACAACACAACUCUAAAAACAUAAAUAAGUCAUACAAGCUCAUAAUACAAGCCAGGGGCCUCGAGGGCUCGAAUACAAGUGCUCGAUCAUAGACGAGUCAGCGGAAGCAACAAUAUCUGAGUACAGACAUAAGUAAACAAGUUGCCAUAAGAUGGCUAGCACAAGCUGGGAUACAGAUCGAAAGAGGCGCAGGCCUCCUGCCUGGGAUCCUCCUAAACUAAUCAUGGUCGUUGACAGCGGCCUGCACGUAGUAGUAGACACCUUCGGUGUAGUAGGAGUCGUCGUCGACGGUGGCGUUUGGCUCCUGGGCUCCAGCAUCUGGUUGUGACAACCAGGAAGAAAGGAAAAGGGGAAAAAGGGGGAUCAAAGCAACCGUGAGUACUCAUCCAAAGUACUCGCAAGCAAGGAUCUAUACUACAUAUGCAUAGGUAUCUGUGUAAAGGGGCAAUACUGGUGGACUGAACUGCAGAAUGCCAGUAUAAGAGGGGGAUAGCUAGUCCUGUCGAAGACUACGCUUCUGGCAGCCUCCAUCUUGCAGCAUGUAGAAGAGAGUAGAUGGUAAGUUCACCAAGUAUCAUCACAUAGCAUAAUCCUACCCGGCGAUCCUCCCCUCGUCGCCCUGUGUGAGAGUGAUCACCGGGUUAUAUCUGGCACUUGGAAGGGUGUGUUUUAUUAAGUAUCCGGUUCUAGUUGUCAUAAGGUCAAGGUACAACUCCGGGUCGUCCUUUUACCAAGGGACACGGCUAUUCGAAUAGAUAAAUCUCCCUGCAGGGGUGCACCACAUUACCCAACACGCUCGAUCCCCUUUGGCCGGACACACUUUCCUAGGUCAUGCCCAGCCUCGGAAGAUCAACACGUCGCAGCCCCACCUAGGCACAACAGAGAGGUCAGCAUGCCGGUCUAAAUCCUAUGGCGCAGGGGUCUGGGCCCAUCGCCCAUUGCACACCUGCACGUUGCGAACGUGGCCGGAAGCAGACCUAGACCCCUUAAUACAAGUGCAGGCUUACGGUCCAAUCUGGCGCGCGCCGCUAAGUCGCUGACAUCAUGAAGGCUUCGGCUGAUACCACGACGUCGAGUGCCCAUAACUGUUCCCGCGUAGUUGGUUAGUGCGUAUAGGCCAGUGGUCAGACUCAGAUCAAAUACCAAGAUCUCGUUAAGCGUGUUAUUUUAAAGUAACCGCGGACGCCGACCAGGGCCAGGCCCACCUCUCACCUAGGUAGUCUCAACCUGCCCUGUCACUCUGCCUCAAAGAUCCACCCAGAGGGCCGUCGGGACAAAGGUCCUUUCAGCCCCCAAUCCGUGAAUUACUCGCGGGUACUCUACGAGCCGAACCGACUUUAGUCACCACAUGUAUCAUGUAUGAAGUAUAUAGUAUAUACCCGUGAUCACCUCCCGAGUGAUCACGGCCCGAUAGUAUAGCAUAGCAGACGGACAAGAAUGUAGGGCCACUGAUGGAAAACUAACAUCCUAUACUAAGUAUUUAGGAUUGCAGGUAAAGGUAACAACAGUAGUAGCAAAGACAGGCUAUGCAUCAGAAUAGGAUUAACCAAAAGCAGUAACAUGCUACACUACUCUAAUGCAAGCAGAGAGAGAAGGAAUAGGCGAUAUAUGGUGAUCAAGAGGGGGGCGGCUUGCCUGGAAGCUCUGCCGAGAAGGAGGGGUCGUCAACACCGUAGUCGUACUAGGUAGCAGCGGCGUCGGUCUCGGUGUCUAGCGAGAGAAGAGGGGGAAGAACCAAUAAAUAUAAAAGCAAACAUAUGCAUGACGAUGUAUGACAUGACAAUGAACGGUGCUAGGUGUGCCCUAACACGGUGGUAGGUGAUACCGGCCAAGGGGGGAACAUCCGGGAAAGUAUUCCCGGUGUUUCGCGUUUUCGGACAGAUGAACCGGAGGGGGACGGUUGCAUGUUUGCUAUGCUAGGGAUGUGUGGCGGAUGAACGGGCUGCAUAUCCAAAAUCGUCUCGUCGUUCUGAGCAACUUUCAUGUACAAAGUUUUUCCAUCCGAGCUACGAUUUAUUUUAUACUCCCUCCGUUCCUAAAUACUUGUCUUUUUAGAGAUUUCAAAUGGACUACCACAUACGGAUAUAUAUAGACAUAUUUUAGAGUGUAGAUUCACUCAUUUUGCUCCGUAUAUAGUCACUUGUUGAAAUCGCUAGAAAGACAAAUAUUUAGGAACGGAGGGAGUAUUAAUUAUAAAAUAUUUUAUCAAUUUUCUAGAUUUAAUAAAUUAAUUUAAUUUGAAAAUUAAUUAAUGCAUCAGCCUGACAUCAGCAUGACGUCAGCAGUCAACGUUGGCCGUUGACCUGGUCAACCUGACAGGUGGGUUCCACCUGUCAGGGACUGUUUAGCUAAUUAACAGUAGUUAAUUAGGUUAAACUAAACAGUAUUAAUUAAGUUAAUUAAUUAUUUAAUUAGUUAAUUAAUUGAUAUUUUUUUGUAUAAAAAUGUUCUGGGGCUGGGCCCCACAUGUCAUUGGCCCUAGGGGCCUUAGUGGGUUUGGGCGCUAGCGGCCGCUAACGGGCGUCGGGCGCAUGCCCAAGGGGGCGCGAGGCGACGGACCCGGCAGGUCGCCAAGGCAGGGGAGGCCGGUCGCCUGAGGCGGCAGCGGCGAGGCCACGUCAGAGUGGCGCCGGGGCUAGGAGCGAAGGCGAGGCGCGCGGCGGCGCGAGCAAAUAGCGAGAGGCAGAGACCGCAGCAGCGAGCGGGGUGCAGGCGAUGCGGCACCAGCAGGCAGCACAAGCGGGGGAGGGCGCGGUGGUGAGCGCGAGGCCACGACGCGGGGCGGUGGUCAGCGGCGGCAGCGGGCUGUGGGCGGAGCGCGCUCGNNNNNNNNNNNNNNNNNNNNNNNNNNNNNNNNNNNNNNNNNNNNNNNNNNNNNNNNNNNNNNNNNNNNNNNNNNNNNNNNNNNNNNNNNNNNNNNNNNNNNNNNNNNNNNNNNNNNNNNNNNNNNNNNNNNNNNNNNNNNNNNNNNNNNNNNNNNNNNNNNNNNNNNNNNNNNNNNNNNNNNNNNNNNNNNNNNNNNNNNNNNNNNNNNNNNNNNNNNNNNNNNNNNNNNNNNNNNNNNNNNNNNNNNNNNNNNNNNNNNNNNNNNNNNNNNNNNNNNNNNNNNNNNNNNNNNNNNNNNNNNNNNNNNNNNNNNNNNNNNNNNNNNNNNNNNNNNNNNNNNNNNNNNNNNNNNNNNNNNNNNNNNNNNNNNNNNNNNNGUCCGGCGAGGAUGAGUCGAGGAGGCAGGCCGACGUGGUAGCUCCGGCGAGGUCCAGUCGGCGAUGGACGACGACGGGCCGUCCGGGGCGACGGGAUCGGGUUCGAUCCCGAUCCAGAUCGGGGGGAAGGAGAGAGCGAGUGGGGGAGAGUGGUGGGUACGGUCUAGGGUUACGGAUGGGGUGGGGGUAAGUAGGCCACGGGGGUAGACGGGCCGGCCGGCUGGGCCAAGGCCCAGUUAGGCCCGGGGGAUUUUCCCCCAUGUUUUAUUUAUUUUUGUUUUCUGUUUUUCUUUUUAUAUAAUUUUCCUUUACUGUUUUAUUUUACUUGAGUGUUAUGAAAUUCAAAAGCUAAACCUAAAAUAAUAUUAUUAACUAUAUCUCUCUCAUAAAUAACUUGGCACUUUAAUUAAGUAUUUUGUAUUUGUUUAUUACUUAACGAGCAUUUAAUUAUUUGUUUUACCGUUGUUUUAUUUAAUCUAGUGCAUCUAAAUAUUUUAUAAGAAGGGUGAUUUCUCUGCCACAAUUAACUAUGAUUUAUUUGCCACAUUUCAAACACUUUUGUUUUACCGUCUGAAAUCCUUUACCGUUUGACUUGAAUUUGAAUUUUGAAUUCGAACGGGAUUUGAAUCAGAGUGAGUUUAGUAACAGUAACAGUGGUGACGUGGCAUCAUUAGCAGAGGGUUACUGUGGCUUAAUUAUCCGGGCGUCACAAAACCGUAUGCUUCUAGAAUCUCCCCAGUUGCCCACAAGAUCAUUAGCCCUACACAAACUGCGUUCAUUAAAGGUCGCUUCAUUAUGGAUGGGAUUGUGGUCUUGCAUGAGCUGCUGCAUGACAUCCACAGGUCGGGCAAACAAGCUGUCGUUCUUAAGCUUGACUUUGAGAAGGCAUACGACUGUGUUCGUUGGUCUUUCCUUCAAGAGGUCCUCCUCGCCAGGGGCUUUGUCUCCCCCUUCGUCACGCGGGUCAUGCAACUUGUCUCUGGUGGUCACACAACUAUCACGAUCAACGGGGUGGUUGGCCCCUUCUUUAAGAACGGCCGGGGCCUCAGGCAAGGGGACCCUAGCUCCCCUCUCCUCUUCAAUUUUGUCGCUGACGCCCUUGCCAAAAUGCUGGAUUCCGCAACGGCUAAUGGCCAUAUUAAGAAUGUAGCCACUCAUCUUUACCCUAACGGCUUAUCUCAUCUCCAAUAUGCGGACGACACGAUUAUCCUGAUCUAGAAAGACGAUCUUCAGUUAGCAAACCUGAAAUUCAUUCUCCUUUGCUUUGAGUCCUUAUCUGGGCUCAAGAUUAACUUUAGCAAAAGCGAGGUUUUCGUCCUCAAUUGUGACACCCCUGAGCAAAAACGAGUUGCUAACCUUAUGAACUGCUCCCUGGGCGUGUUCCCGACCACUUACCUGGGCGUUCCUAUCUCCCAAAGACGGAUUAAGGCGGAAUCCUUUCGACCGCUAGAGAAGAAAGUGGGUGGGCGGGUAGCACCUUGGAGGGGUCGCUAUCAGUCCACUGCUGGCAAGGUUGUGCUUACCAAUUCCAGUCUAUCUUCCCUCCCGACAUUCAUUAUGGGCUCUAUCGCCUUUUCGCCAGUAACCAUGCAUCCUUUGACAAAGAUCGCAGUGCCUUCUUCUGGAACACUGCUGAGAACAAGAAAAAAAUUAGAAUGGUAAAAUGGAAAUUGAUGUGUAGACCCAAAAAACUUGGUGGGCUCGGUAUUAUCAACACCUCUGUCAUGAAUCAAUGUCUUAUGAUGAAAUGGUGGUGGCGCCUAUACUCUGAACCUCCUAAUUAUGUUUGGAUCGGGAUCCUGAAGGCUAAAUACUUUCCUAAUUGCCCCGCACUCAUGUGGACUAUCACGUCCGGAUCGCAAUUUUGGUCGUCCUUGAUGAAACUUCGUGAUACCUUUAGAGGCUUGGUCCGUUUCCGAGUGGGUGAUGGGACAUCCACCCGCUUCUGGCUUGAUUGGUGGGCUGGUACCGGUCCCCUUGCUGACGCAUUCCCUUUGCUCUUUGCGUAUGUCUCGGAUCCAAAUGCGUCGGUGGCUUCUUUGGCAGUUGCGGAUUGGGACUUUGCCUUCCGCCGGACUCUGACUCCCGAAGAGUUGUCUUCUUGGCAAGACCUCAUUGCCCUGAUCCCCCGCUCCCGGAGUCCCCCGACGUGUUGGUUUGGCCUCACUCUGCUUCGGGCCGCUUCUUGAUCAAAUCCCUCUAUAAUAAAUUUAUCCCUGGUAGGCCUGAUGACCGCUUCAAAGGGCUGUGGCAAGCCCGGAUUCCUCUGAAAAUUCGGAUUUUUCUUUGGCAGGCUAUUAGACGCAAACGUCCGGCUAGUGACCAAAUCAUUAAACGACAUGGCAAUGCUAACCCGGCUUGCACCCUUUGUGGGGUGGUGGAAGACACGGAACACAUUCUCUUCAACUGCCCCCUAGCUCGGUUUGGGUGGAGCUGCGUUCGCUCCUGGCUUACGUGCACUUUGGAAUCCCCAAGGCUUUAAGGACUUAUUUGAGCUCUCCCGCAACCUGUCGGGGCAGGGGCGUAGGAUCUUCUGGGUCUUCUUUGCAGCACUAAGCUGGAGCUUAUGGACGACCAGGAAUAAACUGACUAUUGGCAUGUGUUUCCUAACAAACCUUCGGAUUGCCUGUUUAAAAUGAUUGCUUUCUUACAUUGUGGGCGCCUCUGUUUAAAGCUGGCGACGUGGAUGCUUUCAAUUCCCUCAUUACCAAGAUCCGCGCGACUGCCAUCAGCUUUGGUCAUCAUGCCGUGCCUUCUCAAGCUCCCCCAGCUUAAGAAUGCUUAGUUUUCUAUUGCUGCCUUGGCCUGCGUGCCUUUUGCCCUAGUGGCUAUACCGCACUUUGCAACCCUGCUUGGUUGCCUUUCAUGUUAAUUCCUUUCUGCAUACCUUGCUCCUGUAUGAUACUCGUGGUGAUUGGCUUUAUUUAUAAAGUCCGGCGUCAAGCCUUUUCUCCAAAAAAAACUGCAUGUUGCGGUAGCUUAUCUCGCUAGAUUGAUUAUUUUCCUUUAAAAUCAGAAUUAGUUUUCUACAGUAAUAUUUAUUUUGCUUCCUUAAAUCAGGGAUUUGUUUCCUCAAAUCACGUGAUCUGUGGGCAGUUAUUAGUUUCCACCAAAUCACCGAAGGAAAAAAGCUUUGCUGCCGCACGUCCUAUACCUUCCAAUCGGACGGUCUGCUAGUUUCUAAUCUAACGACGAUGAAGUGGUCUGAUGUAUCGCUAGGGAAUCAGCAGUCUGAUCCAGCGGUUCCCAGCUCAUUAUCUCUUCGUGCAUUAUCCCUUGCAUAUAAAUGUACUCCAGAGACAGAGAGAUCAAUGUAAGUUGGCGCAAAAUAAACUCCUCCUCCUGUCUCUCUUUCUUCUCUCUCCAAAACUCCGAUCCCUUUCAUGGUUCGGUCGAAGGGAAGAAGAAAGUACGGCGAAGGCUGGCACGCCGCGACGGCGGCGGUGCUCGGCAACGGCAACCUCCUCCACCAGAUCCUGAUCCACGUCGGCUACCCCACCUCCCUCCUCUGCGCCGCUCUCGUCUCCAAGCAGUGGCUCCGCCACGUCACUGACCCGGACUUCCUCCACGGCUUCCACGGGCGCGACGAUGUCGGCUGCCACUCCCGCCACCAGCUGAGACGCCUUCGCCAACAAUGCGUGGUUGACGAGGAAGACGCCAUGGAGGAGGCGGGACCUAAACAGCUUGCCAGCGUCGAAGGCUGGCGGUGGAACGGAGCGGAGGCCACCUUGUGCGGUAGCUCUUCUUGUUAAUGCGAUCGUUCGUGCUCGAUCUAUUAAAGGCGGCGGUGCUGCACGUUGGUUCAAUUCACGAUUGUUACAGUCUUACAGAUAUAUAGCAUACGUUCUGAAAUUUGAAGGCCUCUGACUGUCGGUCCUCAUGUUCUUUUCAGUAUGCCGUGAAAAUUCAGAUGGCGAUCUCAGCCAUGUUGAAAUUUAACACUCUCAUUCUCAGCUACAGAGUUAAGAAAACACUAGGUUGGGGAUUUACUUCGCUUCCCUUUCCCCUUCUACAUGUUCGUUGUGUAUCAUUUUCAUAUUUCUCUACGUAUGACAGAGAGCGGCCAGGCCGACAGCUGCUCGUUGCAAUCUCACGAAGUCUAUUAUCUUGGGACCCAUGGCGAAACUUAUUUUAAUGACUUCCUCUGUUUUUAUUUACUACUCCGCAUAUAGUUCUGAAAUUUGAAGGCCUCUGACUAUCGGUCCGCGUGUUCUUUUCAGUAUGCCGUGAAAAUUCAGAUGGCGAUCUCAGCCAUGUUGAAAUUUAACACUCUCAUUCUCAGCUACAGAGUUAAGAAAACACUACGUUGGGGAUUUUCUUCGCUUCCCUUUCCCCUUCUACACGUUCGUUGUGUAUCAUUUUCAUAUUUCUCUACGUAUGACACAGAGCGGCCAAGCCGACCGCUGCUCGUUGCAAUCUCACGAAGUCUAUUACCUUGGGACCCGUGGCGGAAGUUAUUUUAAUGACUCCCUCUGUUUUUAUUUAUUACUCCGCAUAUUAGUUUUGACCUAUGCCAAACUUUCUAAAGUUUGACCAAGUUUAUCAAAAACAAUCUAAAUUUUCACAAUGACAACUAUAUAUAGUAUGAAAAUAUGUUGACUGAUGAUUCUAAUGAUAUUGAAUUGGUAUUGUGGAUGUUAAUAAUUUUUUGCAUAAACUUGGUCAAUGUUUGAAAUUUUUGACUGGAGACAAAGCUAAUAUGCGAAGUAAAUAAAAACAAAGGGGUACACAUGUAACACCAUACGCUUUUAUGGGUAGUAGGGCUAUUGUGGUUAAAUGGUAGCAUGGGCCGCAUUGGACUUUGCAACAAGUGUGUUUUCUGCUACCACGUUUGUGUUGUUGAGACAACAUGGCUGCUUCUGCAAUGGCGGCGUUGUUGCGACAUGGGCAGUGAUGUGAUGGCAGUGCUUCUGUAGGGCGAGGUCUGCUGCGAUGGGGGCGUUGGAGUGCUUCGACUACAAGGCGUUGUGAUGGGGGCGGCACCGGUGUAGCAAGCUCAUGAGUUGGCAACAUCACUCGUCCGCUGCUGGAGUCAAAUCCAGCAGAUCUCGGGCAUGGGGUCUCAAGCUGGUAGCCUUAGUCCCGAGCUGGUAGGGGGUCCAGGGUUCUCUGGUCCGCCAUUCGUCGCUGAUAUUAUGCCUGAAGGAUGCGAUGGCCUCUGCGUCGGGAUAGUCCACUAUUUGGUUCUUCUUCGUUAAGAAGCAGUUCCAGAACUUGCGCGCUGACUCACCUUGCUUCUGUAUGAUAUGGGCCAAGUCAUCGCCAUUCGGCGGCUUCACAUAAGUGCCGUGAAAGUUGGACAAAAAUUCAUACUCGAGGUCAUCCCAUUCGCCAAUCGAAUCUGACGGGAGACUAUUCAGUCAAUGCGGGUUGAGUCCUUCAGUUUCAAUGGCAAGUAUUUUGUAGCAUGGACAUUAUCUCUGCCUGCUAUGUGGACGGCGAGGAGAAAAUCCUCGAUCCAUACCAAGGGACCUAUGUUGUGGUCGUAUUGGUCGAUAUUUGCGGGUUUAAACUCGUCCGGGAACUGAUGUUGCAUGACCUUUUCCGCGAAACACUGGAGGUGAGCCGCUCCUUGGACAAGAGUGGCAUGACGCACAUCUGACACGAGUAAGUUUUGGUUUCUGGUGUAAUCACGUACAUCGCCAUGUUUGGCCAGCACAGACAGGUAUCCCGGAUGUCCGGCAUAUAGGUGAUGUCGCUUGAAGUUACGUUGGUAUUUCCCCAAAGAGGAAUGGAUGAUGCAGCACAGCGGCGGUAGGUAUUUCCCUCAGAUAUGAAACCAAGGUUAUCGAACCAGUAGGAGAACCAAGCAACACAACAUAAACAGCCCCUGCACACAGAUAACAAAACCUCGCAACCUAACGUAUUAAAGGGGUUGUCAAUUCCUUCCGGGUACGACGCCUCAAGAUAGGCAAACGAACGUGAGAUAAAGUUGUAGUAGAUUGAUAGAUCGAACGCCAAAUAAAAUAAAUAAGAAUAAAUUGCAGCAGGGUAUUUUUGUAUUUUUGGUUAAUAGAUCUGAAAAUAAAUGCAAGGAAAAAGUAGAUCGCAAAGGCAAAUAUAUGAGAAAGAGACCCGGGGGCCGUAGGUUUCACUAGUGGCUUCUCUCGGGACAAAUAGCAAACGGUUGGUGAACAAAUUACUAUUGGGCAAUUGAUAGAACUUGAAAUACUCAUAGCGGUAUCCAGGCAAUGAUCAUUAUAUAGGCAUCACGUCCAAGAUUAGUAGACCGACUCCUGCCUGCAUCUACUACUAUUACUCCACACCUCGACCGCUAUCCAGCAUGCAUCUAGUGUAUUAAGUUCAUGAAAAACGGAGUAAUGCAAUAAGAACGAUGACAUGAUGUAGACAAGAUCUAUCUAUGUAGAGAUAGACCCCAUCGUUUUAUCCUUAGUAGCAACGAUACAUACGUGUCGGUUCCCCUUCUAUCACUGGGAUCAAGCACCGUAAGAUCGAACCCACUACAAAGCACCUCUUCCCAUUGCAAGAUAAAUAGAUCAAGUUGGCCAAACAAAACCCAAAUAUCGGAGAAGAAAUACGAGGCUAUAAGCAAUCAUGCAUAUAAGAGAUCAAAGAAACUUAAAUAACUUUCAUGGAUAUAAAAAGAUAGAUCUGAUCAUAAACUCAAAGUUCAUCGAUCCCAACAAACACACCGCAAAAGAGUUACAUCAUAUGGAUCUCCAAGAGAUCACUGUAUUGAGAAUUCAGAGAGAGAGAGAGAGAGAUGAAGCCAUCUAGCUACUAACUACGGACCCGAAGGUCUACCAAGAACUACUCACGCAUCAUCGGAGAGGCACCAAUGGAGGUGGUGAACCCCAUCCGAGAUGGUGUCUAGAUUGGAUCUGGUGGUUCUGGACUCUGCGGCGGCUGGAUGAAUAUUUUGUAGACACCCCUAGGGUUUUGGGAAUAUUGGGGUAUUUAUAGAGCAAAGAGGCGGUCCGGGGGGCACCCGAGGUGGGCACAACCGACGAGGGCGCGUCUGGGCCUCCUGGUGCACCCUGGUGGGUUGUGCUCUCCUUGUAGCACCCCUAGGCGCAGCCAGGGCCCAUUAAUUAUAUUCCUUCUGUUCCAAAAAAAAUCUCCGUGAAGUUUCGUUGCGUUUGGACUCCGUCUGAUAUUGAUUUCCUGCGAUGUAAAAAACAUGCAGAAAACAGCAACUGGCAUUUGGCACUAUGUCAAUAGGUUAGUACCAAAAAAGAUAUAAAAUGACUAUAAAAUGAUUAUAAAACAUCCAAGAUUGAUAAUAUAACAGCAUGGAACAAUAAAAAAUUAUAGAUACGUUGGAGACGUAUCAGCAUCCCCAAGCUUAACUCCUACUCGUCCUCGAGUAGGUAAGUGAUAAAAACAGAAUUUUUCAUGUGGAAUGCUGCCUAACAUGUCAUAUCAUAAUCUUUUCUUUAUAGCAUGGACAUUUGGACUUUUAUGUGAUUCAAAGCAAAAGUCUAGUUUUGAAAUGAUAAUUUAAAUACUCAUGCAUAUCAACAAGCAACCAUGUCUUUCAAAAUAUCAAUGCUAAAAUAAGUUAUCCCUAGCCCAUCAUGCUCAACCAUUGAUCCAUUCAUGAAACACACUCGCAUAUUAGUUACACCCAAUACUUAAGUACAAUCAUAUUGCCUCCUAGUUGGUGCUUUUAUAAAAGAAGAUGGAGACUCAAAUUCAAAAUAAAAAUUGCAUAAAGUAAAAGAAAGGCCCUUCACAGAGGGAAGUAGGGAUUUGUAGAGGUGCCAGAGCUCAAAGCGAAAAACUUAGAGAUAAAAACAUUUUGGGAGGUGUAUCCAUCCCACCAACGAAAACGACUUAGAGUUCCCAACACUUUCCAUACUAGAUAUAUCAUAGGCGGUUCCCAAACAGAAAAUAAAGGUUAUUCCUUUUUCCACCAUACUUUCACUUUCCAUGGCUAACCGUAUCCACGGGUGCCUUCCAUACCAACACUUUCCAAGGAAUUUAUUAUUUGACAACAUAAAGUAAAUUCAUUUUUCAUUUCGGGACUGGGCAUCCGUAAUACCUUUGCCUUACUCUCGUGCAAUGACAAGUGAAUAAACACUCAUCCUGAGAAUAACACAUCUGGCAUGGAAAAUAUUAGCCACCCCUCACUGCUCCGCGAGCGAAACAAACACACAAAAGAGAAGUUUAUUUUGAAAAUUAGAGAUGGCACAUGCAAAUUUUCUUAGAACGGCAAAAGAAUACCGCAUAUAGGUAGAUAUAGUGGACUCAUGUGGCACAACUGGUUUAAAGGUUUUUGGAUGCAGAGGUAGAGAUCAUACUUAGUGCAAAAUGAAGGCUAGCAAAAGAUUGAGAAGCGACCAACCAAGAAACGGAUAAUCUCAUAAGCAAGCAUUAAGCAUAAAUAACACCGAAUAAUGCACCACAAGUUGGAUAUAAUUUCAUUGCAUGACUAUUCACUUUCGUGCUUGCAUAGGGAAUCACAAACCUUAACACCAAUAUUCUUACUAAAGCAUAAUUACUCAUCAACAUAACCCACAUAUCACAUCAUCAUAUCUCAAAACUAUUACUAAUAAUCAAGUUUAUUUUGUCCAAUGAUCUUCAUGAAAGUUUUUAUUAUGCCCUUCUUGGAUAUCUAUCACUUUGGGACUAAUUUUCAUGUGUUGCUUUUCAUAAGCUCAAACAAAUAUAAGUGAAGAUCAUGAGCAUAAUUUUUUUUCUUUCUCUCAAAAUAAUUUAAGUGAAGCAAGAGAGAAUUUCUUGAAAAUUUUACUAACUCUCAAAGAAAUCUAAGUGAAGCAAGAGAGCAUUUCUUCAAAAAUACUAAGCACACCGUGCUCAAAAAGAUAUAAGUGAAGCACUAGAGCAAGUCCCUAGCUCAUACAAAUUUGAGUGAAGCAUAGAGAGCAAUUCUAACAAGUCAUGACAUAAUUUUGGCUCUCCCAUAUAGGUGUGUCCAGCAAGGGAUCAAGACUUAAAACAUAAAAUAAAACAAGCAAAGACUCAUAUCAUACAAGACGCUCCAAGCAAAACACAUAGUAUGUGACGAAUAAAAAUAUAGCUUCGAGUAAAAUACCGAUGGUCGUUAGAAGAAAGAGGGGAUGCCACUCGGGGUCAUCCACAAGCUUAGUUGGUUCCUAAUUUUUGUAUAAUAGCUUGGGAUGCCGGGGCAUCCCCAAGCUUAGGCUCUUCUACUUCUUACUCCUUCAUCCAUCGUAAGAUAACACAAUACUUGAAAACUUCAAUCACACAAAACUCAACAAAACCUUCGUGAGAUCCGUUAGUAAAAGAAAGCAAAUCACUACUAAAAGUAGUGUAACAAACCAAUUCAUAUUUUGUUUUUGCAUUAUAUCUACAAUAUUCCAACUUUUCUAUGGCAAAAACUCAUCAAAGAAAACCAUAGAGCCAUGAAAAUAAGCACACAACGCAAAGAAAACAGAAUCUGUCAAAACAGAGUAGUCUGUAACAAUCUGACUAUUUCAAAAACUUCUGGAACUCCAAAAAUUCUGAAAAAACAGGACGAUCAGACCAAUUUGUAUAUUAAUCUUCUGCAAAAAGAAUUGGCAUUUUAUCAUGCUCUGGUAAACAUAAGAAUUGUUUUCGUGAGCGCAAAAGUUUCUAUUUUUCAGCAAGAUCAAACAACUAUCACCCAAGAAGAUCCUACCAGUUCUACUUGGCACAAACACUAAUUAAAACACAAAAAACACAAUCAUAACAGUAGCAUAAUUGUGCUAAUACUCAAGAACAGAAAGCAAAAAGCAAAAAUAAAUUUUAUUCAUUUGGUUGCCUCCCAACAAGCGCUAUAGUUUUACGCCCUUAGCUAGGCAUAAAGCAAGGAUCUAAUUUUGUCAUCUUUGUCCAACUCUUCAAUCAAACACUUAGAAUCCUUCAAAGAUUUAGCAUGAAGAUCUUCAAUAACAACACUCCUAGGAAUAAAUUCAAAGAUUUCAUUCUUGCAAAAAGGAUCUCUUAUCACUUCAACAAAACCCGGGUGAAUACGAAUCAUCUUAAGAUCUUCUUUAUUACUAUUACUAGAAGUUGCACCCUUGUUCUUCGUGACCUUGCCAAUCUUUACGGGAGUUUUUUUUGAUAGUUUAGCAGAAGCGAAAGCCAUGCUUAGAUUACAAAAAAUUUCUUCUAAUUUAUCGAUCCGAGACGGGUUUUCUUCCAUUCUUUCAUGGAUUACGGCACCAUUUUCUUUUAACAACUUAAAAAUAUCUCCCGCUUUUGACCCAAUCUUGGUGGCAAUAUUAUGCAUCUUUUUAUCUAUAAUUUCCAUAUAAUCUUCGGUGAGCAUUUUCUUUUCAAUAGCAUCUAGUCUUUCCAUAACAUGCUCAAGAGUCAAAGUUGUUUCAUUAAUCAUGAGAGGUGGUGAGCCCACUAAAUUUCCCAUAGCAUUAAAAGCAUCAAGAAAAGGACACAUCAAGAAAUUUCCACCGGUAAUUGUAUCAAGGACGAAUCUGUACCAAGUGGUGAUGCCAACAUAAAAACAACAGAGAAGAACAAUGGUAGAUUGCUUACGGAUAGAUCUAUUAUGAGCAUUGCAAAUCCUAUACCAAGCAUCCUUUAAAUUUUCUCCUCCCCUUUGUUUAAAGUUGAGAACCUUGUUCUCGAGAGUGCAAGCAAUAGAGGAAGAACUAUCCAUAACGAUAAUUACGGCAAACAAGAUUGCACUCCAAAAAAGAUCCGGCAAGAAAACGGCGAACAGAAAAGAAGGGCGAAUAAAACGGCAAAUUUUUGUGAAGUGGGGGAGAGGAAAAUGAGAGCCAAAUAGAAAAUAAUGUAAAUUGCGAGGAGAUGACAUUUGUGAUUACGAACCUGGUAUAUGUUGAAGAUCCUCCUCGGCAACGGCGCCGGAAAUUCCUUUUGAUGUCGCUUGAAGCUACGUCGGUAUUUCCCCAAAGAGGAAGGGAUGAUGCAACACAGCGGCGGUAGGUAUUUCCCUCAGAUAUGAAACCAAGGUUAUCGAACCAGUAGGAGAACCAAGCAACACAACGUAAACAGCCCCUGCACACACAUAACAAAUCCUUGCAACCCGACGUGUUAAAGGGGUUGUCAAUUGUGACGCCCGAAUACUUAAGCUACAAUGAACCCCUGUUAAUGAUGCCAAGUCAUCAUAAUUAAAUUUUUGCUAACCUCACUUGUUUCAAACUAGAGUUAAAAUUAAAAUUCAAAUAACAAGUUAAAUAAUAAUUUGUUAAACAGUAUAUUAAAAAUGUUCAAAAGGUUGUAAAUAUUCACUAACUAAAUAACAAACAUCAACCAACAUUAUUGGGAAUGUUUAUAUGCCUCUAGGAUAAUUAAAGCAGAAGCAAAUAACAUUUAAAUUAACCAUUUAAAUAUAAACAAAUAGUUAUCAUUUUCAAAAUGAUUUGAAACUUUGUGUGCAGCUCCAUUAUGUGACCCAAUAUUUAUGUGCCAAAUUUUGUAUUCAACGAAAUUCAUUUGAUAGCUGGAACUAAAUAGAAAAUAUAUAUAGUAAAAAGAAAAUGAAGACGACACUAUGCACUUGCGGCCUGGUCGCUACAGGCGCAUGCCCAGCCCACCAGCGCCUUUGUCUCCCUCUCCUGUUCAUCCAUGGCGCUGGUAGUGCGCGCACGCCGUCCACGCCACCGAUCGUCGCCGUGUCAAGCAUCCACUCCCUCCUCAUGACGGAUAAGUACCCCCCCCCACGACGCCCAGGACGGACCCUAGUGCCAUUCAUUCCUUUCCCCGCGCCGCUUCUCUUAUCUCCCACGCGAAUCAGAGGGUAGCCGUCGCCAUGGAUUUGCUGCCGGCGUAGCCACCGUGCUCCCCUCGUCACUCCACCUUGUCCAGAAGAUGUAGGCCAUCGUCCUCGACUUCAACGUGGACUGCCUCGAGCCGAAACGCCAAGACGAUGCCGCAUCUGUCGAUCCCCUUCGUCGGCAACCGCCACUGCUCGUCUUCGAUUUGCCCAUCUCCGAGCAGCUCCGGCGUCCUAGAGCCCUCCACGAGCUUCUAUGUGAGCUUCACUUCCUCCCCUGCAUCUUCUUAAGCACGAGCCCGAGCUCUAACAUGCCCCUGCCGCCUCUAGUAGCUUGCUUUCGCCGGCAACGGUACAGCCGCAGCCACAACACCCGCCGCUCGCGUCCGAACUCGCGGUCAUGCUCAACGCAACCGCAGGGACCCAACGCAGCACACUGUUUGCCUUGCCGUGCCCUGCAUCGCCAUUCGCCAUCACGCUCGGCUCCGGCCGUCGCCUCUGCUCGACGCUAUCACCACCGCAGACCACCACCGGCCACGCCCGUGCACGCCCACGGUGGCGACCACCUGCUGUUGCACGCGCGCACACCCUUCUUCCCGGGCCGCGCCCGCUGCCAGUCGCACUCAUACGCGUGUCGCGCGCGCAAUCGACGCCCCGCCGCGCGGUGCUGCUCUCGCUCGACGCGCUCCCCGCACCCGCGCCUCGCGUGCCCCCUGUCCACUCGCAGCCCCCCACGAACAGCCCGCGCUGCCGCCGGCCGCCCCUGCCUCGUUCCCGUCUCUAGCCGCCGUGCCUCGCUGGCCUCUAGUGCUGCUGCCGCCGCGUUGUUACUUGCUGCUGCCUAGCCGCUGCUUCUACUAAAGAUUUGCCGCUACUGCCGCUCGUGCCGCCAGCCUGAAGCCACUGCCGCCUGCCCGCGCCCUCCUUCUCCGCCUAGCGCUUGCCAGAUCCGCUCGCCGUGCCCGCUCAUGCCUCGCCCGGCCACCGCACGGCUCGCUCCGGCGCCCCGCCCGUGCAGCCCCGCUGCCGCCUGAACGCCGCCGCGCCGGCCUCUACCCAGCGCCGUGCCCCUCCUGUACAUCGCGCGCUGCGUCCCUUGCUCCCCGCCACGCCUCGCGCCGCGCCUCACCGGGCCCUCCCGCUGGCCGCUCGCCCUGCCGCCUCCCAGCGCCUCCCCUGCCGCUUGCGCCCUCUGCCAUGGCCUCUGGCCACCGGUGUCUAACCGCCGGUCUAAAUGGCCAUUAAGGCACUAACCCCCCCUCUAACCCGAUGACGUGUGGGCUCCUUCCGCCUAACUUUUGGUUAAAAAAAUAUAUAAUCUAAGUGGUGGCUAUGAUAGUGGGGCCCCAGCCCUAAUUAGUUUAAUUUAAACACUUUGUUAAAGUUAUGACGCACUGACUGUGGGACCCCCGGUACCCGCUGACCAGUCAACGUUGACUGCUGACUGGGCAGUCAACGGGGCCCACUGUCAGCCCUUGUACACUGCUGGGUGCACUGGACCGGGUGCUCUUAGCCUUUUCCUUUUAUUUUUCGAAAUUAAAUAAAUUCUAGAAUAUUUGUAAAACUUUGAAAAAUCAUAUAAAAUAAUCCGUAAUUCGGAUGAAAAAACUUUGUACAUGAAAGUUGCUCAGAACGACGAGACGAAUCCGGAUACGUAGCCCGUUUGUGCGCCACACAUCCCUAGCAUAGCGAACACGCAACUUUCCCCCUCUGGUUCAUCUGUCCGAAAACGCGAAACACCGGGGAUACUUUCCCGGAUGUUUUCCCCCCUUCGCCGGUAUCACCUCCUACUGCGUUAGGGCACACUUGGCACCAUUACUUGUCUUGUCAUGCACCGUCAUGCUUAUGUUUGCAUUAUAUUCAUUGUUUCUUCCCCCUCUUCUUCUCCGGUAGACCCCGAGACCGGCGCUGAUGCCACCGAGUACGACUACGUCAUCGACGACCCUUCUCCCGGUACAACAGAGCUUCCAGGCAAGCCCCACCUUGAUCACCAGAUAUCGCCUAUUCCUUCUCUCUACUGCUUGCAUUAGAGUAGUGUAGCAUGUUACUGCUUUCGGUUAAUCCUAUUCUGCUGCAUGGCCUGUCAUUGUUGCUACAGUUAUUACCCUUACCUGCUAUCCUACUGCUUAGUAUAGGAUGCUAGUGUUCCAUCAGUGGCCCUACGCUCUUGUCCGUCUGCCAUGCUAUACUACUGGGCCGUGAUCACUUCGGGAGGUGAUCUCGGGCAUAUGCUAUAUACUUUAUACUGUUACAUUACUUAUGAUACUGUUCGGAGAUGGGGGCUGAAGGGGCAGGUGGCUCCAUCCCGGUAGAGGUGGGCCUGGGUUCCCGACGGCCCCCGACUGUUACUUUAUGGUGGAGCGACAGGGCAGGUUGAGACCGCCUAUGAGAGAGGUGGGCCUGGCCCUGGUCGGCGUCCGCGGUUACUUAAAAAUAACACGCUUAACGAGAUCUUGGUAUUUGAUCUGAGUCUGGCCAUUUGGUCUAUACGCACUAACCAACUACGCGGGAACAGUUAUGGGCACUCGACGUCGUGGUAUCAGCCGAAGCCUUCGUGACGUCAGCGACGGAGCGGCGCGCGCCGGAUUGGACCGGAAUGCCUGCUAGGCUAGGUCUGCUUCCGGCCGCCCUCGCAACGUGCAGGUGUGCAAUGGGCGAUGGGCCCAGACCCCUGCGCCAUAGGAUUUAGACCGGCGUGCUGACCUCUCUGUUGUGCCUAGGUAGGGCUGCGACGUGUUGAUCUUCCGAGGCCGGGCAUGACCUAGGAAAGUGUGUCCGGCCAAAUGGGAUCGAGCGUGUUGGGUUAUGUGGUGCACCCCUGCAGGGAAGUUUAUCUAUUCGAAUAGCCGUGUCCCUCGGUAAAAGGACGACCCGGAGUUGUACCUUGACCUUAUGACAACUAGAACCGGAUACUUAAUAAAACACACCCUUCCAAGUACCAGAUAUAACCCAGUGAUCGCUCUCUAACAGGGCGACGAGGAGGGGAUCGCCGGGUAGGAUUAUGCUAUGCGAUGCUACUUGGUGAACUUACCAUCUACUCUCUCCUACAUGCUGCAAGAUGGAGGUGGCCAGAAGCGUAGUCUUCGACAGGAUUAGCUAUCCCCCUCUUAUUCUGGCAUUCUGCAGUUCAGUCCACCGAUAUGGCCCUUUGCACAUAUACCCAUGCAUAUGUAGUGUAGCUCCUUGCUUGCGAGUACUUUGGAUGAGUACUCACGGUUGCUUUUAUCCCUCUUUUCCCCCUUUCCUUUGUACCUGGUUGUUGCAACCAGAUGCUGGAGCCCAGGAGCCACACGCCACCGCCGACGACGACUCCUACUACACCGGAGGUGCCUACUACUACGUGUAGCCCGCUGACGACAACCAGGAGUAGUUUAGGAGGAUCCCAGGCAGGAGGCCUGCGCCUCUUUCGAUCUGUAUCCCAGUUUGUGCUAGCCUUCUUAAGGCAGACUUGUUUAACCUAUGUCUGUACUCAGAUAUUGUUGCUUCCGCUGACUCGUCUAUGAUCGAGCACUUGUAUUCGAGCCCUCGAGGCCCCUGGCUUGUAUUAUGAUGCUUGUAUGACUUAUUUAUGUUUUAGAGUUGUGUUGUGAUAUCUUCCCGUGAGUCCCUGAUCUUGAUCGUACACAUUUGCGUGCAUGAUUAGUGUACGAUUGAAUCGGGGGCGUCACAAGUUGGUAUCAGAGCCGACUGCCUGUAGGAAUCCCUCUUCCACACUCCUUGGCCGAAGUUGAGUCUAGUCAGUGAAAACUAUUUUACUAACAUGGCUGUGUGGCUUACGGGCCCACGUCGCCAUUGGGUGGUAGUAGGAUCUUUUAUUCCUCAACCUAUACUCUGGGACUCUGACAUCUCUUCUAUUCGGGUUAAACAAUUUUACUAACUCUGACUCUAGGUUCUCGAUAAUACUUUCUCCCGAAGAGCCCCUUAUUGCAGAUGAUUGUCUGCUGCACCAGAAGGAUCCGAAGAUACUCUCCGAUGUUCUCUUGAGACUUUAUGGCGUCGCUUUUGCAAUUCCCCUCCAUCGAUAAACCCCUAUGGAUAACCACGUAUACUCGCCAUUCAUACAAUGCUUCCUAGUUGAUCUUGUUAUUACAAGAUACACCGAAAUUCUCUCUAUUGUUUCAAGAAUACUUUGUGCCUACUGCCUUGCAGUUCUUUGCGACAUGAAUACCCCUACGGAUAAUUCCUCGCUCUUACCGAGUAUCCGCUCAUCCGUAGUUUUUCAUGUGUUUCACAAAAUUCUUCAAAAUACUAUCCGAUCUUUCGAGAAUCCUCAUUCGCCUAUGGCUCUUGAAAUGCUUGUCUGCCUGCAUUUUGGUUAAUUCCAAAUGGCUAGCAAUAUUCAUGGAUGUCCUUUGCCUUUAUCAUCUUGGGUCCCUUGAUUCAAUAUGUUGCGAAUGUUGCAAUCAUUAAUCAGAUCCUAGAAUUCAUCCUUUCGGCUCAGACGUCAUUUUAAACAUGAGCUGGAUCUCGACCAAUCAGAUUGCCAUUGAUUGUACCCCUAAGCCUACUCAACUUAUCCAUCCUUGAUCAGAGCGUUGCUUCUGAUCCCCUGAUUUGGAAAUCAUAAUUCUUUUGCAUUUGGACUUUGAAUUAGUCAGUUGUUUCUAUAAUCAGAUCUCCUUGCAUUCUUCUUCCUCUGGUUGAGUACCGAUGCUCACAUCAAAUCCCUUGUGGACCAUCGGUUCCUUUGUUGGAUUUUAUCCGACAGUGUCCUUCAUAUUGAAUAACCUUGUGAGCCUUUCCAUGGGUAUAUAAUGCCUUUGGUAAGUUGUAUCAUCUGCUUUUGAACAAUGCUCUACUUUCGAGCUUGUAUUAUUUACUCCGAAGUUUGUGGUAUAUGUUCCUAAGAUGCCCUGAUGGGUUGAACCUACGCCUUCCCUAAUCCGUGUGAACCCGAAAGAUUACACGGGUCAUCCUUAUCUGGUAUUGCACCAGGUAAAAACUUUCAACAACUAAUGUCAUUUUCGAAAUACGAGAGGUGAAUGGAAGGUUAUACAUUGAAGAAGUGGGAGUCGACCUUGAACUUGUGUUCAUGCCCAUGGACCCGAUGUGGAACUUAUCAUGGAAGCUUCUCGCAAAAUAUUUAAUCAUUUGGGUAAUUCUUUUGGUGUCAUUAAAUUGGAUCCCCUGCAGCUAUGGUUCCGACCAUAUUCUUCUUCUUUGAUCCCAUUUCUCAGACGAGUUGAAGUACUUGUCUUCUGCAGGUCAAUACAUCUAUCCAACCUCUAUUCUACUCUACCUUCGAGUAUACCCUCAGGUAUCUCGAGAAUAUCACGGCUUCUUAUGAGUUCUUCAUCAACUAUUAUUCUCGCCGAUUCCAGUGCCCCCGGGUUAUGAGUUAGUAGUCAUUUGAGAACACUGAUAAGUGAAUCGAUUCAGCACGCCGAUUCAAUAAUUCUAUUCGUGGCUUAUGAGUUUAAUAAUCCUUCAAGUCAUUCCUAGCCUUAUCGGCUAUAUCAUUAUCGUGCAAACUUUUAACUAUGCUACCUGGUCCUUCCCGGAGCACAACUUUCGACGAUGAGCUAAGCUUAUGUCGAUCUUCCUUGUCUUAUCGUUUCACCUCGAACGGCAAGCUUGAUUCCUAGUUGGUGUUGUAUCUGUAGUUCCAAUAGUCUUUUGCUGCAUCAGUCCUUCUGCUUGAGCAGGCGCUGUUCGAUUACAUCUUCCUGAAACCUCUCGGCAAAUGUGUCGUGAUCAUCAUCUACAUUCGGAGCUCUUCCAAGAUAUCUAUCGAAUUCUUGAUGAGAAAUACGUCCUUGCCCCUUGAUGGUUUGUGUUAUCAUCGGCAACGUUAUUGCCCCCCUCCAAUUCAGACUUGAUCAUGUUAUGGAGCUCUUUCCUAUCUAGCUUAUGUUAUGUUCUACAUUGAAGUAUUACUGUCCUUCAUGUCAAGGAUGUUGUGAGGAUUGCUCCACCUCUUAAGAAUUCCUGAUAUAGUAAUACUUCUCACCAUCUCCAUUUAUUUCCAGGUUCACGUGUUGAUUCUAACCGGGAUACCAACAGGUGAACUGUGUUGUUCGGAUUCUAAAACUUCUAGCAACCCUAUUGCUUUGAAGUCAAUGGCCGAUAGUUUCAUUCUAAGUCUUUUGGUUAUCGAGUCACCAUUCUAACAUUGAUCAUGCUACCUAAGCCCAUAUUUUGGGUGUAAUUUUCAACCAAUGUUUAAUUAUGUAUGUUUUGCUCGAGCAUACACCAUUAUACCAUUUGAUCUGGCAAAUGUUAUCCCCAUGUUCACAUAAUUGUGGAAAUCCAUCUGUUUGGAAAAUUGGAUGAUUUGUCGUCGAGUCCAUCAGCCACCUCCUCUUCCUCUCCUUGGUUUAAUGAUGAACUCUUGUUUCGGAACUCGCUUCCAUAGUUCAUUGCCCGAGAAUCUUACAAUGUCAUCUCGACAAUUUGUGUUGAACCUUUUCUUCUCAAACAUCCUGAGCCUGAGGUACCCUGACACCAAUCAGAUCUGAAUCUCGGUCAGAUAUGAUGGUUGGAAUAUAUUUCCAAGAGUUAAACAUUGGUCUUUUAGAUGACCCGGUAAGAUGAUCUCAUGCCCAACACCCCUGGCCGUAGGACCUAUUAUUAUAGUUUCCUUUUUAGCAAGGUUAUCCAUUAUUCCUUGAGGAAAUUGUAAGGCUUAUUCUACAAGUUGUUCCUAAUGGAUCCUUCGUGUAUCCAGAGUCUGACCUUUACUUGAUGACCAUGUCAAUGCUAUCUCGAAGCAUGUUUGUGGUACUCUGAUCAUCGAUAAGAACAUUUGAAGCACCAUGCUAAAUUUCCUUUAUCAAUUAUUCAAACACCGUUGUUUGGGUAAUGUCAUGAACUUCCUAUCCCUUACCUAAAUGGUUUUCUACGUUAUAUCCUGACAUUGAUAUCAUGCUCUGCUUGUCCUUGGGAAGGAUAUACCCCUGAAAUAUGUGUUUAAACACAUUUUUCUUUCCAUUGUUUUGGUUAAUCUGAUAAUCAUAUUUUCUUUUCCAUUGUUUAGUUUAACCAUUCUUGUGAUCUAUAUGAUCUAAGCAGUAAUAUUCUCCUACUUAUGUAAACACCUCGUUGUACCACUCUAUCACUAAGAUCCUGUUACUAUUGUUGAUAACAUUCCGGUAACCACCGAUGGACGAGAACUUUGCCUAUUGGUCCGCCUCGUUCAACGAGCAGGAAAAUGGUUCUCUUCGUCCCUCGCCCUUGGUACCGACGUUGUUGCUGACAUAACUGACAGGCUAACCUCUGACAUGCCUUGCUAUCGUGACCGUGCAAGAUGUCAGCCCCCUUUCUAUUUUAAACCACAUGGUGGGCCCAUAACCCACAGUUCCACAGGAUCGAAACCCGACUCUACUGUACCCAUGUUCCCAAGGUUGUUCCUCACGCGUGGCCUCAUAUGUAAUUCAUGAUCCACCUUCCUUGAGAUGAUCUAAUCUAGUUUUAGCUGCGAUACAUAUUCUGUUGCUUUGAACCCCUCUCACACUCCGUUUCAGGCAUCGAACGUUUGCCUACCCGCUUGAAAAAUUCUCAUGACUAUUAUUAUUUCUCUCGAUGCAUUUUCUGAGAUCCAACUCGAGAGAUACUCAUGUGUUCAUCCAUGGGAUAACCCCUCGAUGAUUACCCCUUAUAGCCUUCUAUCGUUGUCGAGCUGCCCCUUACCUAUCGUAAGUACGUUGGAGUUCCCGAAGAAAAGGACGACUUUGCCACGAUGACCUGAAGCAGAGAAAUGAAGACAUCAACGUAAUGGAUCGACCUCUUGGAGAAGAGCAACCAAGACCGAGAAGAUCCGUUAGAAUUUCACAACCACAGAUUUCCCCUUACACCACCUCUUAAAUCUCGGGACGAGAUUUCUUGUAGUGGAGGAGAAUUGUGACGCCCGAAUACUUAAGCUACAAUGAACCCCUGUUAAUGAUGCCAAGUCAUCAUAAUUAAAUUUUUGCUAACCUCACUUGUUUCAAACUAGAGUUAAAAUUAAAAUUCAAAUAACAAGUUAAAUAAUAAUUUGUUAAAACAGUAUAUUAAAAAUGUUCAAAAGGUUGUAAAUAUUCACUAACUAAAUAACAAACAUCAACCAACAUUAUUGGGAAUGUUUAUAUGCCUCUAGGAUAAUUAAAGCAGAAGCAAAUAACAUUUAAAUUAACCAUUUAAAUAUAAACAAAUAGUUAUCAUUUUCAAAAUGAUUUGAAACUUUGUGUGCAGCUCCAUUAUGUGACCCAAUAUUUAUGUGCCAAAUUUUGUAUUCAACGAAAUUCAUUUGAUAGCUGGAACUAAAUAGAAAAUAGAAAUAGUAAAAAGAAAAUGAAGACGACACUAUGCACUUGCGGCAUGGUCGCUACAGGCGCAUGCCCAGCCCACCAGCGCCUUUGUCUCCCUCUCCUGUUCAUCCAUGGCGCUGGUAGUGCGCGCACGCCGUCCACGCCACGGAUGGUCGACGUGUCAAGCAUCCACUCCCUCCUCGUGACGGAUAAUUACCCCCCCACGACGCCCAGGACGAACCCUAGCGCCAUUCAUUCCCUCCCCCGCGCUGCUUCUCUUAUCUCCCACACGAAUCAAAGGGUAGCCGUCGCCAUGGAUUUGCUGCCGGCGUAGCCACCGUGCUCCCCUCGUCACUCCACCUUGUCCAGAAGACGUAGGCCAUCGUCCUCGACUUCAACGUGGACUGCCUCGAGCCGGAACGCCAAGACGAUGCCGCAUCUGUCGAUCCCCUCCGUCGGCAGCCGCCACUGCUCGUCUUCGAUUUGCCCAUCUCCGAGCAGCUCCGGCGUCCUAGAGCCCUCCACGAGCUUCUAUGUGAGCUUCACUUCCUCCCCUGCAUCUUCUUAAGCACGAGCCCGAGCUCUAACAUGCCCCUGCCGCCUCCAGUAGCUUGCUUUCACCGGCAACGGUACAGCCGCAGCCACAACACCCGCCGCUCGCGUCCGAACUCGCGGUCAUGCUCAACGCAACCGCAGGGACCCAACGCAGCACACUGUUUGCCUUGGCGUGCCCUGCAUUGCCAUUCGCCAUCACGCUCGGCUCCGGCCGUCGCCUCUGCUCGACGCUAUCACCACCGCAGACCAUCACCGGCCACGCCCGUGCACGCCCACGGCGGCGACCACCUGCUGUUGCACGCGCGCACACCCUCCUUCCCGGGCCGCGCCCGCUGCCAGUCGCACUCAUACGCGUGUCGCGCGUGCAAUCGACGCCCCGCCGCGCGGUGCUGCUCUCGCUCGACGCGCUCCCCGCACCCGCGCCUCGCGUGCCCCCUGUCCACUCGCAGCCCCCCACGAACAGCCCGCGCUGCCGCCGGCCGCCCCUGCCUCGUUCCCGUCUCUAGCCGCCGUGCCUCGCUGGCCUCCCGUGCUGCUGCCGCUGCGCUGUUACUUGCUGCUGCCUAGCCGCUGCUUCUACUGAAGAUUUGCCGCCACUGCCGCUCGUGCCGCCAGCCUGAAGCCACUGCCGCCUGCCUGAAGCCACUGCCGCCUGCCCGCGCCCUCCUGCUCCGCCUAGCGCUUGCCAGAUCCGCUCGCCGUGCCCGCUCAUGCCUCGCCCGGCCACAGCACGGCUCGCUCCGGCGCCCCGCCCGUGCAGCCCCGCUGCCGCCUGAACGCCGCCGCGCCGGCCUCUACCCAGCGCCGUGCCCCUCCUGUACAUCGCGCACCGCGUCCCUUGCUCCCCGCCACGCCUCGCGCCGCGCCUCACCGGGCCCUCCCGCUGGCCGCUCGCCCUGCCGCCUCCCAGCGCCUCCCCUGCCGCUUGCGCCCUCCGCCGUGGCCUCUGGCCACCGGUGUCUAACCGCCGGCCUAAAUGGCUAUUAAGGCACUAACCCCCCCUCUAACCCAAUGACGUGUGGGCUCCUUCCGCCUAACUUUUUGGUUAAAAACAUAUAUAAUCUAAGUGGUGCCUAUGACAGUGGGGCCCCAGCCCUAAUUAGUUUAAUUUAAACACUUUGUUAAAGUUAUGAGGCACUGACUGUGGGACCCCCUGUCCCCGUUGACCAGUCAACGUUGACUGCUGACUGGGCAGUCAAUGGGGCCCACUGUCAGCCCUUGUACACUGCUGGGUGCACUGGACCGGGUGCUCUUAGCCUUUUCCUUUUAUUUUUCGAAAUUAAAUAAAUUCUAGAAUAUUUGUAAAACUUUGAAAAAUCAUAUAAAAUAAUCCGUAACUUGGACGAAAAUUCUUUGUGCAUGAAAGUUGCUCAGAACGACGAGACGAAUCCGGAUACGUAGCCCGUUCGUCCGCCACACAUCCCUAGCAUAGCGAACACGCAACUUUCCCCCUCCGGUUCAUCUGUCCGAAAACGCAAAACACCGGGGAUACUUUCCCGGAUGUUUUCCCCCCUUCGCCGGUAUCACCUCCUACUGCGUUAGGGCACACCUGGCACCAUUACUUGUCUUGUCACGCACCGUCAUGCUUAUGUUUACAUUAUAUUUAUUGUUUCUUCCCCCUCUUCUUCUCCGGUAGACCCCGAGACUGGCGUUGAUACCACCGAGUACGACUACGUCAUCGACGACCCUUCUCCCGGUACAACAGAGCUUCCAGGCAAGCCCCCCCUUGAUCACCAGAUAUCGUCUAUUCUUUCUCUCUACUGCUUGCAUUAGAGUAGUGUAGCAUGUUACUGCUUUCGGUUAAUCCUAUUCUACUGCAUAGCCUGUCAGUUGCUACAGUUAUUACCCUUACCUGCUAUCCUACUUCUUAGUAUAGGAUGCUAGUGUUCCAUCAGUGGCCCUACGCUCUUGUCCGUCUGCCAUGCUAUACUACUGGGCCGUGAUCACUUCGGGAGGUGAUCUCGGGCAUAUGCUAUAUACUUUAUACUGUUACAUUACUUAUGAUACUGUUCGGAGAUGGGGGCUGAAGGGGCAGGUGGCUCCAUCCCGGUAGAGGUUGGACUGGGUUCCCGACGGCCCCCGACUGUUACUUUGUGGCGGAGCGACAGGGCAGGUUGAGACCGCCUAUGAGAGAGGUGGGCCUGGCCCUGGUCGGCGUCCGCGGUUACUUCAAAAUAACACGCUUAACGAGAUCUUGGUAUUUGAUCUGAGUCUGGCCAUUUGGUCUAUACGCACUAACCAACUACGCGGGAACAGUUAUGGGCACUCGACGUUGUGGUAUCAGCUGAAGCCUUCGUGACAUCAGCGACGGAGCGGCACACGCCGGAUUGGAGUGGAACGCCUGCUAGGCUAGGUCUGCUUCCGGCCGCCCUCGCAACGUGCAGGUGUGCAAUGGGCGAUGGGCCCAGACCCCUGCGCCAUAGGAUUUAGACCGGCGUGCUGACCUCUCUGUUGUGCCUAGGCAGGGCUGCGACGUGUUGAUCUUCUGAGGCCGGGCAUGACCCAGGAAAGUGUGUCCAGCCAAAUGGGAUCGAGCGUGUUGGGUUAUGUGGUGCACCCCUGCAGGGAAGUUUAUCUAUUCGGAUAGCCGUGUCCCUCGGUAAAAGGACGACCCGGAGUUGUACCUUGACCUUAUGACAACUAGAACCGGAUACUUAAUAAAACACACCCUUCCAGGUACCAGAUAUAACCCGGUGAUCACUCUCUAACAGGGCGACGAGGAGGGGAUCGCCGGGUAGGAUUAUGCUAUGCGAUGCUACUUGGUGAACUUACCAUCUACUCUCUUCUACAUGCUGCAAGAUGGAGGUGGCCAGAAGCGUAGUCUUCGACAGGAUUAGCUAUCCCCCUCUUAUUCUGGCAUUCUGCAGUUCAGUCCACCGAUAUGGCCCUUUGCACAUAUACCCAUGCAUAUGUAGUGUAGCUCCUUGCUUGCGAGUACUUUGGAUGAGUACUCACGGUUGCUUUUAUCCCUCUUUUCCCCCUUUCCUUUGUACUUGGUUGUCGCAACAAGAUGCUGGAGCCCAGGAGCCACACGCCACCGCCGCCGACGACUCCUACUACACCGGAGGUGCCUACUACUACGUGUAGCCCGCUGACGACAACCAGGAGUAGUUUAGGAGGAUCCCAGGCAGGAGGCCUGCGCCUCUUUCGAUCUGUAUCCCAGUUUGUGCUAGCCUUCUUAAGGCAUACUUGUUUAACCUAUGUCUGUACUCAGAUAUUGUUGCUUCCGCUGACUCGUCUAUGAUCGAGCACUUGUAUUCGAGCCCUCGAGGCCCCUGGCUUGUAUUAUGAUGCUUGUAUGACUUAUUUAUGUUUUAGAGUUGUGUUGUGAUAUCUUCCCGUGAGUCCCUGAUCUUGAUCGUACACAUUUGCGUGCAUGAUUAGUGUACAAUUGAAUCGGGGGCGUCACAUCAAUCCCUUCCGGGUACGGUGCCUCAAGAUAGGCAAACGGACGUGAGAUAAAAUUGUAGUAGAUUGAUGAUCGAACGCCAAAUAAAAUAAAUAAGAAUAAAUUGCGGCAAGGUUCUUUUGUAUUUUUUGGUUUAAUAGAUCUGAAAAUAAAUGCAAGGAAAAAGUAGAUCGCAAAGGCAAAUAUAUGAGAAAGAGACCCGGGGGCCGUAGGUUUCACUAGUGGCUUCUCUCGAGAAAAAUAGCAAACAGUGGGUGAACAAAGCAAUUGAUAGAACUUCAAAUACUCAUGACGAUAUCCAGGCAAUGAUCAUGAUAUAGGCAUCAUGUCCAAGAUUAGUAGACCGACUCCUGCCUGCAUCUACUACUAUUACUCCACACCUCGACGACUAUCCAGCAUGCAUCUAGUGUAUUAAGUUCAUGGAAAAACCGAGUAAUGCAAUAAGAAUGAUGACAUGAUGUAGACAAGAUCUAUCUAUGUAGAGAUAGACCCCAUCAUUUUAUCCUUAGUAGCAACGAUACAUACGUGUCGGUUCCCCUUCUGUCACUGGGAUCAAGCACCGUAAGAUCGAACCCACUACAAAGCACCUCUUCCAAUUGCAAGAUAAAUAGAUCAAGUUGGCCAAACAAAACCCGAAUAUCGGAGAAGAAAUACGAGGCUAUAAGCAAUCAUGCAUAUAAGAGAUCAAAGAAACUCAAAGAACUUUCAUGGAUAUAAAAAGAUAGAUCGGAUCAUAAACUCAAAGUUCAUCGAUCCCAACAAGCACACUGCAAAAGGUUUACAUCAUAUGGAUCUCUAAGAGACCAUUGUAUUGAGAAUUCAGAGAGAGAGAGAGAGAGAUGAAGCCAUCUAGCUACUAACUACGGACCCGAAGUUCUACAAAGAACUACUCACGCAUCAUCGGAGAGGCACCAAUGGAGGUGGUGAAACCCAUCCGAGAUUGUAACAUCCCAAAAUUAUAAAUUUUGGAAUGUUAUAAUAAAUAGAUAGAUUUGAUUUUUUGGUUGAUUGUUGUGUGAUUGAUUGACUGAACAUGAGUGAAUUCGAAACUUUUUGAAAGUUAAAUGAGAGGGAAUAAAAGGACUUUCCCAAACUUUCAUUUUGCAUUUAUGGUCUCCGGGAAUUCAAAUUCUUUUCAAAUACAAAAAACCCUAGAGCGAAGAUGGCAUGACUUCUUCCAUUUAUUUAAAUGAAAAGGGUUGUUUGAAAAUAUUUGAAUUCCAUUUGGAAAAUAUUUCCAAUUCAUAAACUUCAUGCAACUCAAGAUUUUCAUGAGAGAAGAUAAAAUGACUUCUUCAAAUUAUAUGAAAUAUGAGUUGGAAGUUUAAAAGGAUCAAUUUAAAGUCCUUUUGAAAAUUAUUUCCAAUUUAGAGUUAUUUGAGUUUUAUUCAAAUUAUUUUUCUCCAAAAAUAAAAUAUAUGGAAAUUAGGGUAACAUGAUUCCCUACAAGAGAAGAUUGGAGAGAAAUCAAUUUGAAUUUAUUUUGGUAUUUUUAAAAUGAUUUUUAUUAGGUUUUAUUGCAACAGCAGCACUCUCUGAUUUAUUUGAAUUUUUGUAGAUUUUAUUUGAUGCUAGAAAUAUGUUCACGUCAUAGAAAAUAAUUUUCUGAAAAUUUUGAUAUAUAAUAUGCCUAUAUGUUAUUUGUUUUUAUUUUAGUUAUUUAUUUAUUUUUUCGUUUGUUUGUGUUAAAAAAACUCUUCGAACAGUGCCAGGCCGAAGCCCCGCACUGCUCUCUCUCUCUCUCUCUGCACCAGGCCAGCCGGCCCAGCCGAGCAGCGGCCUGCGGCCGCGCCCGAAUCGCCUCCGUCUCGCUCGUCCGCUCGCACGCAGCUUCGCCCAGUCACCGACAGGUGGGGUCCACCUGUCGGGACCUUCUCCUACGCGCCACCAGAGUCCGACUCCAGCACUCCUCGCCGGCGACGCCGUGUCCAGGCGGGACUCCUCCUCCUCUACCCCCUCCCGCAAGCCGACCCCUCCUCCUAUUUAUACCGCCGCCCGAGCCCCGUUCCUCCUCCUUUGUCGCAAACCACAGCCGCCGCCGCCCUCACCGGAGUUCUAGCCUCCGACGAGAUCUGCCGCCGCCGCCGCGCCCCAUUCCGUCACCCUCAACCUCCGCCGACGCCGCCAUCGCCUUCCCCUCCUCGCGCUGCUUCUCCCCGACCCCGCGGCCAUGCCGGAGGACCGCUGGAGCAGCCACCCCGACGACCCCGCCGCCGCCGUCGUCUCCUUCUCCGGUGACGUCGACGCCCACCACCGCGGUAAGCCGCCGGUGCUCCUCGUCCGUCCGAUCUAGGUUAGAUGGAUAGGAUUAGAUUAGUUUUUUUAUUAUUCGAAUCGUUUUUCUUUACUUAGGGAACGUUCACUUCUUUGCCUUCGCAGCGAACGGUUUAUAACCAAUAGAUUUCUGACACGUGGCCAGGGACAUAGGUGUAGAUUUUAUUUUUUAGUUUAGUCCCUGAUUUUCAAAACACCACAACUUUUCAACCGUUAGUCCACAUUCGGUGAAACCAACGCCCACUUAUUCAUUAUGAUCCCCUCUAUCCAGUAAAACAACUUAAACAUGUUUUUGAAAGUUUAAAAUUUGAAUUCAAACAGAUUUGAGUUUGAACUUUGUUUGAUCAUGAUUUGAGUUUCGUAACUCUGUUUGAGUUGAUUCUUUUUGCAAAUUAAGGCUCUUGACCUAAACUUUCUGAUAAGGCCAAAUUGACAUAAUUUUGGUACUGUUAGAAAUUGUUUUAUGUUGCAAGAGUUAUUUGAUUGGUUUUGAUGUUUUCCGAUUUGUUUUCUUCGUUCUUUCCGACCUUUUGAGUGAUUGCUUAUGUGUUGUUACUAUUGAUUGCUUACGAUAGAUUGACCGGAGUGUGACGAGUAGAACUAUCAAGAUUUUUGAGUGCGAAUCAUCUUCCUCAACAGUACAGGCAAGUUCACACUUUGAUCAUAUCCCUUUCAUACUCAGUUUUUAUGCAUUAGUUUCACCCUCCAACAUUGCAUGAGUAGGAUUGAUAACAUGUGGGUAUUUGGGAAGUUGUUGAUGAGGUAGGAACCUAUUGCCCUGUAUUCAAACCUUGGGAGUUACUUCUACGUUGCUUAUAUUGCUAUGCUAUGCUCGUAGAUGUGUAUUGGGUUUGAGAGUAUUCAUGACAGAUGUGAGUAUUGUUAAUUAAUGGUUCAACUUAAGGUGGCAACUUAAAUACACAUCUGGGUGGAUUGAGGCACCUGGGGAACCCAGUGAUUGCCUGUAUUUUUUGGAAAUCCCGGGGUACCGUGUGAUUCUCCUAUGGACUGCCACCCAGGCUCAAAGGGAUCAUGAGAUUAUUCAUGCUAGAAACUUUCGUGUGCAGCCACAAGCUAUUAUGGGAUCUAGCAUAGUUGAUUAAGUCGUGUGAACUCUUAUAGUGGUAGACUAGCAGAUGUAGGGGAUGUAGGUGGUACUGUCUACCCACCGUAAGGUGCAAACGCUUCUGAAAGACUGUGUCUCGGUCAUCCGUUUCUCAAACACCAUGUAGUGCGAGAAAUCCAACGGAGGAGAUCGAGACUUGUGGGGAAAAGUGCGCAAACCUCUGCAGAGUGUACAAACUAAUCAUGGUUAGCCGUGUCCCCGGUUAUGGACAUCUUGAGUAUCUGGUUCUUGGAUUAUCAUGUUGAUCUCAUCACUUCAUAAUUAAUUUGUUGGGUUGUUAAUGAUUACUUUUAAUUGGGAUUGAGAGGGGGUUUACCUUCUCAAUAUUUUCAACCAACUUUGUAGUUAAAUAAAAUAUAUUCCUUUGCAGUAGGGAAAAAUUGGCUUUUCGCAAAAACCUUAUAAUCAUAGAGCUUUUCCACCAGCCAAAUAUGCAUGUAGUGAUAGCCUUUAUUCAUCAUUAUCCUAUGGUGUGAAUUUUCCAGUACAUUCAAUGUACUGAUCCUUUGUUGCUGCAACAUCUCAUGUUGCAGGACAUCUUACGACGAGUAAGUGAUACGUUAGGGUUAUGAUUUCUACACUCAACUUUGCCGUUGGUGUUGAUGGGAAUCCACAACCUUGUUACUUCCACUAUUUGGAUUGAGGUAAUAGUAUUUACGUUAUUUAUACAUGUGAUCUACCUCUGUUAUAAAUCCUCGAGUACUGUGUGUGUCAGCAUACCGAUCCAGGGAUGACACUUAAGCACAGAGACUUGAUCCAUUCGGGUCGGGUCGCUACAAAGAUGGUGUCUAGAUUCGAUCUGGUGGUUCUGGACUCUGCGUCGGCUGGAUGAAUAUUUUGUCGACUCCCCUAGGGUUUUGGGAAUAUUGGGGUAUUUAUAGAGCAAAGAGGCGAUCCGGGGGGCACCCGAGUUGGGCAGAACCCACUAGGGCGCGCCUGGGCCUCCUAGCGCGCCCUGGUGGGUUGUGCUCUCCUCGGAGCACCCCCACAGGCGCAGCCAGGGCCCAUUAAUUAUGUUCCUUCUGGUCCAAAAAAAUCUCCAUGAAGUUUCGUUGCGGUUGGACUCCGUCUGAUAUUGAUUUCCUACGAUGUAAAAAACAUGCAGAAAACAACAACUGGCACUUGGCACUAUGUCAAUAGGUUAGUACCAAAAAAGAUAUAAAAUGAUUAUAAAACAUCCAAGAUUGAUAAUGUAACAACAUGGAACAAUAAAAAACUAUAGAUACGUUGGAGACGUAUCAACAUCCCCAAGCUUAACUCCUACUCGUCCUCGAGUAGGUAAGUGAUAAAAACAGAAUUUUUGAUGUGGAAUGCUGCCUAACAUGUCAUAUCAUAAUCUUUUCUUUAUAGCAUGGACAUUUGGACUUUUAUGUGAUUCAAAGCAAAAGUCUAGUUUUGACAUGAUAAUUUAAAUACUCAAGCAUAUCAACAAGCAACCAUGUCUUUCGAAAUAUCAACGCUAAAAUAAGUUAUCCCUAGCCCAUCAUGCUCAACCAUUGAUCCAUUCAUGAAACACACUCGCAUAUUAGUUGCACCCAAUACUUAAGUAUGAUCAUAUUGCCUCCUAGUUGGUGCUUUUAUAAGAGAAGAUGGAGACUCAAAUUCAAAAUAAAAAUUGCAUAAAGUAAAAGAAAGGCCCUUCGCAGAGGGAAGUAGGGAUUUGUAGAUGUGCUAGAGCUCAAAGCGAAAAACUUAGAGAUAAAAACAUUUUGGGAGGUGUAUCCAUCCCACCAACGAAAACGACCUAGAGUUCCCAACACUUUCCAUGCUAGAUAUAUCAUAGGCGGUUCCCAAACAGAAAAUGAAGUUUAUUCCUUCUUCCACCAUACUUUCUUUCCAUGGCUAACCGUAUCCACGGGUGCCUUCCAUACCAACACUUUCGAAGGAAUUUAUUAUUUGACAACAUAAAGUAAAUUCAUUUUUCGUUUCGGGACUGGGCAUUCCUAAUACCUUUGCCUCACCCUCGUGCAAUGACAAGUGAAUAAACACUCAUCGUGAGAACAACACAUUUAGCAUGGAAAAUAUUAGCCAUCCCUCACUGCUCCGCGAGCGAAACAAACACACAAAAGAGAAGUUUAUUUUGAAAACUAGAGAUGACACACGCAAAUUUGCUUAGAAUGGCAAAAGAAUACCGCAUAUAGGUAGAUAUAGUGGACUCAUGUGGCAAAACUGGUUUAAAGGUUUUUGGAUGCACAAGUAGAGAUCAUACUUAGUGCAAAAUGAAGGCUAGCAAAAGAUUGAGAAGCGACCAACCAAGAAACGGAUAAUCUCAUAAGCAAGCAUUAAGCAUAAAUAACACCGAAUAAUGCACCACAAGUUGGAUAUAAUUUCAUUGCAUGACUAUUCACUUUCGUGCUUGCAUAGGGAAUCACAAACCUUAACACCAAUAUUCUUACUAAAGCAUAAUUACUCAUCAACAUAACCCACAUAUCACAUCGUCAUAUCUCAAAACUAUUACUAAGAAUCAAGUUUAUUUUGUCCAAUGAUCUUCAUGAAAGUUUUUAUUAUACCCUUCUUGGAUAUCUAUCACUUUGGGACUAAUUUUCAUGUGUUGCUUUUCAUAAGCUCAAAAAAAUAUAAGUGAAGAUCAUGAGCAUAAUUGUUUUUCUUUCUCUCAAAAUAAUUUAAGUGAAGCAAGAGAUAAUUUCUUGAAAAUUUUACUAACUCUCAAAUAAAUCUAAGUGAAGCAAGAGAGAAUUUCUUCAAAAAUACUAAGCACACCGUGCUCAAAAAGAUAUAAGUGAAGCACUAGAGCAAGUCCAUAGCUCAUACAAAAUUAAGUGAAGCAUAGAGAGCAAUUCUAACAAGUCAUGACAGAAUUUUGGCUCUCCCAAAUAGGUGUGUCCAGCAAGGGAUCAAGACUUAAAACACAAAAUAAAACACGCAAAGACUCAUAUCAUACAAGACGCUCCAAGAAAAAUAAAUAGUAUGUGACGAAUAAAAAUAUAGCUUCGAGAAAAAUACCGAUGGUCGUUAGAAGAAAGAGGGGAUGCCACUCGGGGGCAUCCCCAAGCUUAGUUGGUUGCUCAUUUUUGGAUAAUAGCUUGAGAUGCCGGGGCAUCCCCAAGCUUAGGCUCUUCUACUCCUUAUUCCUUCAUCCAUCGUAAGAUAACCCAAAACUUCAAAACUUCAAUCACACAAAACUCAACAAAACCUUCGUGAGAUCCGUUAGUAAAAGAACACAAAUCACUACUAUAAGUAGUGUACCAAACCAAUUCAUAUUUGGUUUUUGCAUUAUAUCGACUGUAUUCAAACUUUUCUAAGGCAAAAACUCAUCAAAGAAAACCAUAGGGCCAUCAAAAUAAGCACACAACGCAAAGAAAACAGAAUCUGUCGAAACCAAACAGUCUGUAACAAUCUGACUAUUUCAAAAACUUCUGGAACUCCAAAAAUUCUGAAAAAUAGGACGACCUGAGAAAUUUGUAUAUUAAUCUUCUGCAAAAAGAAUUGGCAUUUUAUCAUGCUCUGGUAAAAAAUAAGAAUAGUUUUCGUGAGUGCAAAAGUUUCUAUUUUUCAGCAAGAUCAAACAACUAUCACCCAAGAAGAUCCUAUCGGUUCUACUUUGCAUAAACACUAACUAAAACACAAAAAAACAAUCAUAACAGUAGAAUAAUUGUUCUAACACUCAAGAACAGAAGGGAAAAAGAAAAAAUAAAUUUUAUUCAUUGGGUUGCCUCCCAACAAGCGCUAUAGUUUUACGCCCUUAGCUAGGCAUAAAGCAAGGAUCUAAGUUUUGUCAUCUUUGUCCAACUCUUCAAUCAAACACUUAGAAUCCUUCGAAGAUUUAGCAUAAAGAUCUUCAAUAAUAACACUCCUAGGAAUAAAUUCAAAGAUUUCAUUCUUGCAAAAAGGAUCUCUUAUCACUUCAACAAAAUCCGGGUGAAUACCAAUCAUCUUAAGAUCUUCUUUGUUACUAUUACUAGAAUUCUGAUGAACCACAAGUGUAGGGGAUCUAUCGUAGUCUUUCGAUAAGUAAGAGUGUCGAACCCAACGAGGAGCAGAAGGAAAUGACAAGCGGUUUUCAGUAAGGUAUUCUCUGCAAGCACUGAAAUUAUCGGUAACAGAUAGUUUUGUGAUAAGGUAAUUUUUAACGGGUAACAAGUAAUGAAAGUAAAUAAGGUGCAACAAGAUGGCCCAAUCCUUUUUGUAGCAAAGGACAAGCCUGGACAAAUUCUUAUAUGAAAGAAAACGCUCCCGAGGACACAUGGGAAUUAUCGUCAUGCUAGUUUUCAUCAUGCUCAUAUGAUUCACGUUCGUUACUUUGAUAUUUUGAAUGUGGGUGGACCGGCGCUUGGGAACUGCCCUUCCUUGGACAAGAAUCCCACUUAUGAUUAACCCCUAUUGCAUGCAUCCGCAACUAUAAAAGAAGUAUUAAGGUAAACCUAACCAUAGCAUGAAACAUAUGGAUCCAAAUCAGCCCCUUACGAAGCAAUGCAUAAACUAGGGUUUAAGCUUCUGUCACUCUAGCAACCCAUCAUCUACUUAUUACUUCCCAAUGCCUUCCUCUAGGCCCAAACAAUGGUGAAGUGUCAUGUAGUCUACAUUCACAUAACACCACUAGAGGAAAGACAACAUACAUCUCAUCAAAAUAUCGAACGAAUACCAAAUUCACAUUACUACUUAUAGCAAGACUUCUCCCAUGUCCUCAGGAACAAACGUAACUACUCACAAAUCAUAUUCAUGUUCAUAAUCAGAGGGGUAUUAAUAUGCAUAAAGGAUCUGAACAUAUGAUCUUCCACCAAAUAAACCAACUAGCAUCAACUACAAGGAGUAAUCAACACUACUAGCAACCCACAGGUACCAAUCUGAGGUUUUGGGACAAAGAUUGGAUACAAGAGAUGAACUAGGGUUUGAGAGGAGAUGGUGCUGGUGAAGAUGUUGAUGGAGAUUGACCCCCUCCCGAUGAGAGCAUCGAUGGCGAUGACGAUGGUGAUGAUUUCCCCCUUCCGGAGGGAUGUUUCCCCGGCAGAAUAGCUCCGCCGGAGCCCUAGAUUGGUUCCGCCAAGGUUCCGCCUCGUGGUGGCGGUGUUUCGUCCCGAAAGCUUCAUUCUAAAUUUUUUCAGGGUGAAAGACUUCAUAUAGCAGAAGAUGGGCACCGGGCCUUCCAGGGGGCCCACGAGGCGGGGGCGCACCCCCCACCCUCGUGGAUGGUGGGUGGCCCCCCUCUGGUUUAUUCUUUCGCCAGUAUUUUUUAUUAAUUCCAAAAACUGCCUCCGUGAAGUUUCAAGACUUUUAGAGCUGUGCAGAAUAGGUCUCUAAUAUUUGUUUCUUUUCCAGCCCAGAAUUCUAGCUGCCGGCAUUCUCCCUCUUCAUGUAAACCUUGUAAAAUAAGAGAGAAUAGGUAUAAGUAUUGUGACAUAAUAUGUAAUAACAGCCCAUAAUGCAAUAAAUAUCGAUAUAAAAGCAUGAUGCAAAAUGGACGUAUCAAAGUCGCACCCUUGUUCUUGGUAACUUUGCCAAUCUUUACAGGAGUAUUUCGAUAGUUUUAGCGGAAGCGAAAGCCAUGCUUAGAUUACUAAAUAUUUCUUCUAAUGUAUCGAUUCGAGACGGGUUUUCUUCUAUUCUUUCAUGGAUUACGGUACCCUUUUCUUUUAACAACUUAAAAAUAACUCCCGCUUUUGACCCAAUCUUGGUGGCAAAAUUAUGCAUCUUUUUAUCUAUAAUUUCCAUAUGAUCUUCAGUGAGCAUUUUCUUUUCAAUAGCAUCUAGUCUUUCCAUAACAUGCUCAAGAGUCAAAGUUGUUUCAUUAAUCAUGAGAGGUGGUGAGCCCACUAAAUUUCCCAUAGCAUUAAAAGCAUCAAGAGAAGGACACAUCAAGAAAUUUCCACCGGUAAUUGUAUCAAGGACGAAUCUGUACCAAGUGGUGAUGCCAACAUAAAAACAACAAACAAGAACAACGGUAGAUUGCUUACGGAUAGAUCUAUUAUGAGCAUUGCAAAUCCUAUACCAAGCAUCCUUUAAAUUUUCUCCUCCCCUUUGUUUAAAGUUGAGAACCUUGUUCUCGGGAGUGCAAGCAAUAGAGGAAGAACUAUCCGUAACGAUAAUUACGGCAAACAAGAUUGCACUCAAAAACAGAUCCGGCAAGAAAACGGCGAACGGAAAAGAAGGGCGAAUAAAACGGCAAAUUAUUGUGAAGUGUGGGAGAGGAAAACGAGAGCCAAAUGGCAAAUAAUGUAAAUUGCGAGGAGAUGAGAUUUGUGAUUAGGAACCUGGUAUAUGUUGAAGAUCCUCCCCGGCAACGGCGUCAGAAAUUCCUUUUGAUGUCGCUUGAAGCUACGUCGGUAUUUCCCCAAAGAGGAAGGGUUGAUGCAGCACAACGGCGGUAGGUAUUUCCCUCAGGUAUGAAACCAAGGUUAUCGAACCAGUAGGAGAACCAAGCAACACAACGUAAACAACCCCUGCACACAGAUAACAAAUCCUCGCAACCCGACGUGUUCAAGGGGUUGUCAAUCCCUUCCGGGUACGACGCCUCAAGAUAGGCAAACAGACGUGAGAUAAAAUUGUAGUAGAUCGAUAGAUCGAAUGCCAAAUAAAAUAAAUAAGAAUAAAUUGCAGCAAGGUAUUUUUUGUAUUUUUGGUUUAAUAGUUCUGAAAAGAAAUGCAAGGAAAAAUUAGAUCUCAAAGGCAAAUAUAUGAGAAAGAGACCCGGGGGCCGUAGGUUUCACUAGUGGCUUCUCUCGAGAAAAAUAGCAGACGGUAGGUGAACAAAGCAAUUGAUAGAACUUCAAAUACUCAUUACGAUAUCCAGGCAAUGAUCAUUAUAUAGGCAUCACGUCCAAGAUUAGUAGACCGACUCCUGCCUGCAUCUACUACUAUUACUCCACACCUCGACCGCUAUCCAGCAUGCAUCUAGUGUAUUAAGUUCAUGGAAAAACGGAGUAAUGCAAUAAGAACGAUGACAUGAUGUAGACAAGAUCUAUCUAUGUAGAGAUAGACCCCAUCGUUUUAUCCUUAGUAGCAACGAUACAUACGUGUCAUUUCCCCUUCUAUCACUGGGAUCAAGCACCGUAAGAUCGAACCCACUACAAAGCACCUCUUCCCAUUGCAAGAUAAAUAGAUCAAGUUGGCCAAACAAAACCCAAAUAUUGGAGAAGAAAUACGAGGCUAUAAGCAAUCAUGCAUAUAAGAGAUCAAAGAAACUCAAAUAACUUUCAUGGAUAUAAAAAGAUAGAUCUGAUCAUAAACUCAAAGUUCAUCGAUCCCAACAAACACACCGCAAAAGAGUUACAUCAUAUGGAUCUCCAAGAGACCAUUGUAUUGAGAAUUCAGAGAGAGAGAGAGAGAGAGAGAUGAAGCCAUCUAGCUGCUAACUACGGACCCAAAGGGCUACAAGGAACUACUCACGCAUCAUCGGAGAGGCACCAAUGGAGGUGGUGAACCCCAUCUGAGAUGGUGUCUAGAUUGGAUCUGGUGGUUCUGGACUCUGCGGCGGCUGGAUCAUAUGGAUGAAUAUUUUGUCGACUCCCCUAGGGUUUUGGGAAUAUUGGGGUAUUUAUAGAGCAAAGAGGCGGUCCGAGGGGCACCCGAGGUGGGCACAACCCACCAGGGUGUGCCUGGGCCUCCUGGCGUGCCUUGGUGGGUUGUGCUCUCCUUGGAGCACCCCCCAGGCGCAGCCAGGGCCCAUUAUGUUCCCUCUGGUCCAAAAAAAUCUCCGUGAAGUUUCGUUGCGUUUGGACUCCGUCUGAUAUUGAUUUCCUGCGAUGUAAAAACAUGCAGAAAACAACAACUGGCACUUGGCACUAUGUCAAUAGGUUAGUACCAAAAAAUGAUGUAAAAUGACUAUAAAAUGAUUAUAAAACUUCCAAGAUUGAUAAUAUAACAGCAUGGAACAAUAAAAAAUUAUAGAUACGUUGGAGACGUAUCAAUAGGUAUUGCUUGGGUUGAUAAAUCAACCCAGGUGGGUUCUCGGGACUUAAUGGCCUCUUGUCCCUAGGAUCCAGUAUGUAAUCCUCCCAUUGUGGGUACCGCUCUCCUUUGCGCCCUGUAGCCUCGAGAGCAUGCUUGUCAGUGCUGACUUGACGUUUGGUGACGCGGGGAGGUCGGUUUUUAGUAGGUCGUCGGCCCACCUGCACCUUGAUAUGAUGCUACCGUCGGCUGCUGCAUCUCACCCUAUGCAUUUUAAAACUGAACCAAAAACCAUACCGAAAAUAAAUCAAACCGAACCAAUUUUAUGGUUUUUAUGGUUUCGGUACGGUAUCAACUUUUCAUACCGUUUUGAAUUCUGGUUUUUAUGGUAUAUACCCAAAAACCGAAUGGUUUACCGAAUAAACCGAAGUAAAAAAUAUAUGUAUAUAUCUUGGGGAGAACAACCAUACAAGUAGUCAUUUUUUGUAUAUAAGCUAGAUAUCCUGUUAAGCGCAUCCAUUUUUCUUGUAACGUAGUCAUACUUCUCUUCAGAAUAAUGCUAAGUACGUCCAUAACAUCGAAUCCAUGCAUGCAUAUACACUCGCAUAUAGUUAUAUACUUGAGUCAUAAAUUUGCAAACUAUUAUAUGUCAUUUUCAAAUUUGCGUCAACUUUGGUUUUUAUGGUAUAUAUAUACCGAAACCAUACAAAAAUAAUUUGGUAUAUACCGAAACCGAACCGUAUCUAAAUUUCAUACCAUAUAUACCAAAGUAUUAAUACCAUACAAACCGAAAAAACAUAUAAACCAAACCAUGUAAACCGAAUAAACCGAACGCACAGAGUGAGCUGCAUCCAUCUCAUCCAUGAGGUUCCUGCGGGGGUAUGAGGGAUGAUUGUUGGUCUCUAUCCAUGCUAGUCUGGCUUUAAGGACAUCCUUGGCUUGGAGGAGAUCGUCCCUCUGCGUCUCAAAGACGUUGAGAUUUGUUCUUUACUCUCUUGGAUGUAGUCAGCAGCCUUAAGCGUAGUGCGUCAUAGUCUGCAUUGCCUAGAGACUCGUUCAUGAUGUCUUCAUCCCCAGGCCUGAGGCUUCUUUUGAGGUCGUCGUCGGGAUUGUAAUCCUCACCAUCACCGGGUUUAUAAUCUCUAUCUUCGUCGUCGCCUCCGUGUCCCCUAACGCUGCCUUUACGACCAUUGAUAUUGUUACUGUUGCCAUCGACUCCCUUAUGGGGACUGUCGCUGCCCUUGCUGCCAGCGUUCUUACCAGGGAUGUCUCCUCCCCCAUUCUUGGGGGUGUCUACCAUGUCGACAUCACACGUGGGUGUUGCAGUCCAUCGGCCUGUGUUCUUGACGGUAGGUCAAGAAUUGUUUGAGGACUCUCCCACGUCGCCAUCCAUGUCGGGUGCCUUGUUGGAGGCGCUUGCAAGGAUGUUGGUUAAAUCUUCGAGUUGGCAACUACAUGGGUUGUGGGUGGGUCAAAAAUUCUGACCUCUCCCAAUUUUUCUAGAUCCGAUUGUAAAUCGAGUUCUGAUCGUCUGGGAUCACAAGCUGCUGAAUUCGAUCUAACAUCUCAUUCUGAAAUGCCUUGUCAUUUUCGUCCGUGUCCCGAUCGAGCAUCGGGACCAAAGGGAGCUUCACCGAGGUCCGAUCUGACAUGGACCUGGGUUCUUCAGCCGGAACCAGACUAGAUGCCUGGUUAUCGGGGGUUGUGCUCGGAUCCUGGCUCAAGACCGGAUCUGAGAUAUGGAUUGCACCAUCAUCCGGCUCCUGGACUGACUCCAGGGCUUAGGCCAAUGGGUCAUUGUGCUCCUCGAUCUAGUCUGAUGCGUAGUUGGAGAAAGCAGGCUCACCGUAAGAGUCAACGGCAUACUCCAGGUUGUCGAAUCUGAUGAUAUGACCUGGAGCAAAGUUGUCGACAUGGCUAAGGUGACCGGUUGAAUUCGUGAAGUGGGUAACACUGCUGAAGACAAAGAUUUGCCCGAGUAGAAAAGUCAUGCCGCAGCUGCCUUGAUCAUUGACCUGGAGGUGCACCAUCGAACUGCUUGUUCGCACACAAACACGUCACUGUGUACCCUUGACGCCGGGGUUGAUGCACCACAGCUCACGUCGAAGGAGAACCGUCCGGAAGCGCGGUAUGCAAGCAAUCUGGCGGGUGCUUUCUGAAGGAAAUAUGCCCUACAGGCAAUAAUAAAGUUGUUAUUUAUAUUUCAUUAUAUCAUGAUAAAUGUUUAUUAUUCAUGCUAGAAUUGUAUUAACCGGAAACUUGAUACAUGUGUGAAUACAUAGACAAAACAAAGUGUCCCUAGUAUGCCUCUACUAGACUAGCUCGUUAAUCAAAGAUGGUUAAGUUUCCUGACCAUAGACAUGUGUUCUCAUUUGAAGAAUGAGAUCACAUCAUUAGGAGAAUGAUGUGAUGGACAAGACCCAUCCGUUAGCUUAGCAUAAUGAUCGUUAAGUUUUAUUGCUAUUGCUUUCUUCAUGACUUUUACAUAUUCCUCUGACUAUGAGAUUAUGCAACUCCUGAAUACCGGAGGAACACCUUGUGUGCUAUCAAACGUCACAACAUAAUUGGGUGAUUAUAAAGAUGCGCUACAGGUGUCUCCGAAGGUGUUUGUUGGGUUGGCAUAGAUCAAGAUUAGGAUUUGUCACUCCGAGUAUCAGAGAGGUAUCUCUGGGCCCUCUCGGUAAUGCACAUCACUAUAAGCCUUGCAAGCAAUGUGACUAAUGAGUUAGUUACGGGGUGAUGCAUUACGGAACGAGUAAAGAUACUUGCCGGUAACGAGAUUGAACUAGGUAUGAUGAUACCGACGAUCGAAUCUCAGGCAAGUAACAUACCGAUGACAAAGGGAAUGACGUAUGUUGUUAUUGCGGUUUGACUGAUAAAGAUCUUCGUAGAAUCUGUAGGAACCAAUAUGAGCAUCCAGGUUCUGUUGUUGGUUAUUGAUCGGAGAUAUGUCUCGAUCAUGUCUACAUAGUUCCCGAACCCGUAGGGUCCGCACGCUUAACGUUCGAUGAUGAUUUGUAUUAUGAGUUGUGUGUUUUGGUGACCGAAGAUUGUUCGGAGUCCCGGAUGAGAUCACGGACAUGACAAGGAGUCUCAAAAUGGUCAAGAGGUAAAGAUUGAUAUAUUGGACGAUAGUAUUUGGACACCGGAAUGGUUUCUGGACGUUUCAGAUAUUUAUCGGAGUAUCGAGGGGUUACCGGAACCCCCCGAGGAAAGUAAUGGGCCUACAUGGGCCAUUGGGGAGAAGGGAGGCAGCCCACAAGGGGUGGUCGCGCCGCCCUCCCAUAGGGAGUCCGAAUUGGACUAGGGGAGGGGGGGCGCCCCCCUUUCCUUCUCCUCUUCCCUCUCCCUUCCCUUCUUUCCCCCUCCAUGAGAAGGAAUAAAGGGGGCGAAUCCUACUAGGACUGGGAGUCCUAGUAGGGCUCCCCCCUCGGCGUGCCCCCUAGGGCCGGCCUCCUUCCUCUCCCUCCUUUAUAUACGUGGGCAGGGCACCCCUUGGAGACACACUACUUGUUCUAAGCCGUGUGCGGAGUCUCCCUCCACGGUUUACUCCUCCGGUCAUAUUCACGUAGUGCUUAGGCGAAGCCCUGCGUGGAUCACAUUACCAUCACCAUCACCAUGAUGUCGUGCGGACAAAACUCUCCCUCGACCCUCUGCUGGAUCAAGAGUUCGAGGGACGUCAUCGAGCUGAACGUGUGCUGAACUUGGAGGUGUUGUACGUUCGGUACUUGAUCCGUUGGAUCGCGAAGACGUUCGACUACAUCAACCGUGUUACCCUAACGCUUCCGCUUUCUGUCUACGAGGGUACGUGGACACACUCUCCCCCUCUCGUUGCUAUGCAUUUCCUAGAUAGAUCUUGCGUGAUCAUAGGAAUUUUUUUAAAAUUGCAUGCUAUGUUUCCCAACAGUGGUAUCAGGGCCAGGUUUAUGCAUAGAUGAUAUGCACGAGUAGAACACAAAGUGUUGUCAACGAUAAUAGUCAUACUGCUUACCACCAACGUCUUAUUUUGAUUCGGCGGUAUUGUUGGAUGAAGCGGCCCGAACCAACCUUACAUGACCAUGUUCAUGAGACUGGUUCCACCGACAGACAUGCAACUUGUUUUGGAUAAAGGUGGCUGGUGGGUGUUUGUUUCUCCAACUUUAGUUGAAUCGAAUUUAACUACGGCCAGUCCUUGUUGAAGGUUAAAACAACACACUUGACGAAAAAUCGUUGUGUUUUUGAUGCGUAGGUAAAAACAGUUGUUGCUAGAAGCCCAUAGCAGCCACGUACAACUUGCAACAACAAAGUAGAGGAUGUCUAACUUGUUUUUGCAGGGCAUGUUGUGAUGUGAUAUGGUUAAGACAUGAUGUGAUAUAAGUUAUUGUAUGAGAUGAUCAUGUUUUGUAAAAGUUAUCGGCAACUGGCAGGAGCCUUAUGGUUGUCGCUUUAUUGUAUGAAAUGCAAUCGCCAUGUAAUUGAUUUACUUUAUCUCUAUGCGGUAGCGAUAGUUGUAGAAGCAAUAGUCGGUAAGACGACAACGACGCUACGAUGGAGAUCAAGGUGUCAAGCCGGUGACGAUGGAGAUCAUGACGAUGCUUUGGAGAUGGAGAUCAAAGGCACAAGAUGAUGAUCGUCAUAUCAUGUCACAUAUAUUUUGAUUGCAUGUGAUGUUUAUCUUUUAUGCAUCUUAUUUUGCCUAGUACGGUGGUAGCAUUAUAAGAUGAUCCCUCACUAAAUUUCAUGGUAUAAGUGUUCUCCCUGAGUAUGCACCGUUGCUACAGUUCGUCGUGCCGAGACACCACGUGAUGAUCGGGUGUGAUAAGCUCUAUGUUUACAUACAACGGGUGUAAGACAGUUUUGCACGUGCAGAAUACUCAGGUUAAACUUGACGAGCCUAGCAUAUACAGAUAUGGCAUCGGAACACUGAGACCGAAAGGUCGAACAUGAAUCAUAUAGUAGAUAUGAUCAACAUAGAGAUGUUCACCAUUGAAAACUACUCCAUCCCACGUGAUGAUCGGACAUGGUUUAGUUGAUAUGGACCACGUGAUCAUUUAGAUGACUAGAGGGAUGUCUAUAUGAGUGGGAUUUCUUAAGUAAUAUGAUUAAUUGAACUUAAAUUUAUCAUGAACUUAGUCCUGAUAGUUUUUUGCAUAUCUAUGUUGUUGUAGAUCAAUGGCCCAUGCUACCGUUCUCUUGAAUUUUAAUGCGCUCCUAGAGAAAGCUAAGUUGAAAGAUGAUGGUAGCAACUACACAGACUGGGUCCGUAACUUGAGGAUUAUCCUCAUUGCUGCACAAAAUAAUUAUGUCCUAGAAGCACCGCUAGGUGUAAGGCCUGUUGUAGGAGCAACUCCGGACGUUAUGAACGUCUGGCAAGCUAAAUCUGAUCACUAUUUGAUAGUUUAGUGUGCCAUGCUUUACGGCUUAGAAUCGGGACUUCAAAGACGUUUUGAACGUCAUGGAGCAUAUGAGAUGUUCCAAGAGUUGAAGUUAAUAUUUCAAGCAAAUGCCUGAGUUGAGAGAUAUGAAGUCUCCAACAAGUUCUAUUGCUGCAAGAUGGAGGAGAACAGUUCUGUCAGUGAACACAUACUCAGAAUGUCUGGGUACCAUAACCACUUGACUCAGCUGGGAUUUAAUCUUCCGGAUGAUAGUGUCAUUGACAGAGUUCUUCAAUCACUGCCACCAAGCUAUAAAGGCUUCAUGAUGAACUAUAAUAUGGAAGGGAUGGAAAAGACAAUUCCCGAGCUCUUCGCAAUGCUUAAGGCUACAGAGGUAGAAAUCAAGAAGGAGCAUCAAGUGUUGAUGGUUAACAAGACCACUAGUUUCAAGAAAAAGGGCAAAGGGAAGAAGGGGAACUUCAAGAAGAAUAGAAAGCAAGUUGCUACUCCCGGGCAGAAGCCCAAGUCUGGACCUAAGCCUGAAACUGAGUGCUUCUACUGCAAAGGGACUAGUCACUGGAAGCGGAACUGCCCCAAGUAUUUGGCGGAUAAGAAGGAUGGCAAAGUGAAAGGUAUAUUUGAUAUACAUGUUAUUGAUGUGUACCUUACUAAUGCUCAUAGUAGCGCCUGGGUAUUUGAUACUGGUUCUGUUGCUCAUAUUUGCAACUCGAUAUAGGGGCUACAGAUUAAACGAAGAUUGGCUAAGGACGAGGUGACGGUGCGCGUUGGAAAUGGUUCCAAGGUCGAUGUGAUCGUCGUCGGCACGCUACCUCUACAUCUACCUUUGGGAUUAGUUUUAGACCUGAAUAAUUGUUAUUUGGUUGCAGUGUUGAGCAUGAACAUUAUAUCUGGAUCUUGUUUGAUGCGAGACGGUUAUUCAUUUAAAUCAGAGAAUAAUGGUUGUUCUAUUUAUAUGAGCAAUAUCUUUUAUGGUCAUGCACCCUUGAUGAGUGGUCUAUUUUGUUGAAUCUCGAUCGUAGUGAUACACAUAUUCAUAAUAUUGAAGCCAAAAAAUGCAAAGUUAAUAAUGAUAGUGCAACUUAUUUGUGGCUCUGCCAUUUAGGUCAUAUUGGUGUAAAGCGCAUGAAGAAACUCCGUGCAGAUAGGCUUCCAGAAUCACUUGAUUAUGAAUCACUUGAUGCUUGCGAACCAUGCCUCAUGGGCAAGAUGACUAAGACUUCGUUCUCCGGUACAAUGGAGGGAGCCACUGACUUAUUGGAAAUAAUACAUACUGAUAUAUGCGGUCUGAUGAGUGUUGAGGCUCGUGGCGGGUAUCGUUAUUUUUUGACCUUCACAGAUGAUUUGAGCAGAUAUGGGUAUAUCUACUUGACGAAACAUAAGUCUGAAACAUUUGAAAAGUUCAAAGAAUUUCAGAGUGAAGUGGAAAAUCAUCGUAACAAGAAAAUAAAGUUUCUACGAUCUGAUCGCGGAGGCGAAUAUUUGAGUUACGAGUUUGGUCUUCAUUUGAAACAAUGUGGAAUAGUUUCGCAACUCACGCCACCUGGAACACCACAGCGUAAUGGUGUGUCCGAAUGUCGUAAUCAUACUUUAUUAGUUAUGGUGUGAUCUAUGAUGUCUCUUACCGAUUUACCACUACCGUUUUAGGGUUAUGCUUUAGAGACGGCUGCAUUCACGUUAAAUAGGGCACCAUCUAAAUCCGUUGAGAUGAUACCAUACGAACUGUGGUUUGGCAAGAAACCUAAACUGUCAUUUCUUAAAGUUUGGGGCUGCGAUGCUUAUGUGAAAAAGCUUCAACCUGAUAAGCUCGAACGCAAAUCGGAGAAAUGCGUCUUCAUGGGAUACCCAAAAGAAACUAUUGGGUACACCUUCUAUCACAGAUCCGAAGGCAAGACAUUUGUUGCUAAGAAUGGAUCCUUUCUAGAGAAGGAGUUUCUCUCGAAAGAAGUGAGUGGGAGGAAAGUAGAACUUGAUGAGGUAGUUGUACCUUCUCUCGAAUUUGAAAGUAGUUCAUCACAGAAGUCAGUUCCAGUGAUGCAUACACCAAUUAGUGAGGAAGCUAAUGAUGAUGAUCAUGAAACUUCAGAUCAAGUUACUACCAAACCUCGUAGGUCAACCAGAGUACGUUCCGUGCCAGAGUGGUACGGCAAUCCUGUUCUGGAAGUCAUGUUACUAGACCAUGACGAACCUACGAACUAUGAGGAAGCGAUGAUUGUCGGUGUCAAAACCGGCGGAUCUCGGGUAGGGGGUCCCGAAUUGCGCGUCUAAGGUUGAUGGUUACAGGAGAUAGGGGACACGAUGUUUACCCAGGUUUGGGCCCUCUCUAUGGAGGUAAUACCCUGAUACGUCUCCGUCGUAUCUACUUUUCCAACCACUUUUGCCAUUGUUUUGGACUCUAACUUGCAUGAUUUGAAUGGAACUAACCCGGACUGACGCUGUUUUCAGCAGAAUUGCCGUGGUGUUAUUUAUGUGCAGAAACAAAAGUUCUCGGAAUGACCUGAAACUUCACGGAGAUUGUUUUUGGAAAUAAUAAAAAAUACUGGCGAAAGAAUCAAGGCCAGGGGGCCCACACCCUUUCCAUGAGGGUGGGGGGCGCGCCCCCCUACCUCAUGGGCCCCCCUGGAGCUCCACCGACCUCAACUCCAACUCCAUAUAUUCGUGUUCGGGGAGCAAAAAAUCAAAGAAAAAGAUUCAUCACGUUUUAUGAUACGGAGCCGCCGCCAAGCCCUAAACUCUCUCGGGAGGGCUGAUCUAGAGUUCGUUCGGGGCUCCGGAGAGGGGAAUCCGUCGCCAUCGUCAUCAUCAACCAUCCUCCAUCACCAAUUUCAUGAUGCUCACCGCCGUGCGUGUGUAAUUCCAUCGUAGGCUUGCUGGACGGUGAAGGGUUGGAUGAGAUUUAUCAUGUAAUCGAGUUAGUUUUGUUAUGGUUUGAUCCCUAGUAUCCACUAUGUUCUGAAAUUGAUGUUGCUAUGACUUUGCUAUGCUUAAUGCUUGUCACUAGGGCCCGAGUGCCAUGAUUUCAGAUCUGAACCUAUUAUGUUUUCAUGAAUAUAUGUGAGUUCAUGAUCCUAUCUUGCAAGUCUAUAGUCACCUACUAUGUGUUAUGAUCCGGCAACCCCGAAGUGACAAUAAUCGGGACCACUCCCGGUGAUGACCUUAGUUUGAGGAGUUCAUGUAUUCACUAUGUGUUAAUGCUUUGGUCUGGUACUCUAUUAAAAGGAGGCCUUAAUAUCCCUUAGUUUCCGCUAGGACCCCGCUACCACGGGAGGGCAGAAAAAAAGAUGUCAUGCAAGUUCUUUUCCAUAAGCACAUAUGACUAUAUUCGGAAUACAUGCCUACAUUACAUUGAUGAAUUGGAGCUAGUUCUGUGUCACCCUAUGUUAUAACUGUUGCAUGAAUAAUCGCAUCCGACAUAAUUCUCCAUCACCGAUCCAUUGCCUACAAGCUUUUCAUAUAUCGUUCUCCGCUUAUUUACUUUUCCGUUGCUACUAUUACAAUCACUACAAAACCCAAAAAUAUUACUUUUGCUACUGUUAUUGUUACUUCCAUAUUACUUUGCUACUAAACACUUUGCUGCAGAUAUUAAUUUAUCCAGGUGUGGUUGAAUUGACAACUCAACUGCUAAUACUUGAGAAUAUUCUUUGGCUCCCCUUGUGUCGAAUCAAUAAAUUUGGGUUGAAUACUCUACCCUCGAAAACUGUUGCGAUCCCCUAUACUUGUGGGUUAUCAAGACUAUUUUCUGGCGCCGUUGCCGGGGAGCAUAGCUCUAUUCUUUGAGUAACUUGGGAUUUAUAUCUGCUGGUCACUAUGAAGAACUUGAAAGACACGAAAACAAAAAUUUAUCCCUCAACUAUGAGGGGAGGUAAGGAAUUGCCAUCUAGCUCUGCACUUGAUUCACCUUCUGUUUUGAGUAUGCUUGCGACACCUAAACCUGCUUCUGCUAUUAAUUCAGAUAUGUCACAUGUUAUUGAUGAUGCCACUUCUGCUAUGCAUGAUACUUAUGAUGAAACUACUUCCAUGCUUGAUACUACUGUGCCACUUGGUGAAUUUCUUGAUGAACAACUUGCUAGGGCUAGAGAGAAUGAAAUUAUUGAAACUGAUAAUAUUGAUGAAAGUGAUGAUGAAGAUUCUCCCCCUAAAUAUGAAUCGUCUGUUGUGCCUGAGGGCUAUGUUAUGGAUGAAGAAACUGCUAGAGACUUUCUUGCUUGCAAUGAUAGAAGUGAUCUUAAUAAAUUAUUAGCUAAGCUCAAACAAAAAACUCUGAAUGCUAGAAUGAAAUAUGAGCCUCCUUAUGCUACUUCACCUAUCUUUGUUACUGAUAAGGAUUAUGAAUUCUCUGUUGAUCCUGAUAUAAUUACUUUUGUUGAAUCUGAUCCUUUCUAUGGCUAUGAAUCUGAAACUGUUGUGGCACAUCUUACUAAAUUAAAUGAUAUAGCCACCCUGUUCACUAAUGAUGAGAAAACUCGCUACUACUAUAUCCUUAAAAUAUUUCCGUUCUCAUUAAAGGGUGAUGCUAAGAUAUGGUUAUUCUCUUGAUCCUGGUUUUGUGCGUAGUCCCCAGGAUAUGAUUUAUUACUUCUCUGCUAAAUAUUUCCCUGCUCAUAAGAAACAAGCUGCCUUAAGGGAAAUAUAUAAUUUUCUGCAAAUUGAAGAAGAGAGUCUCCCACAAGCUUGGGCGAGGCUUCUCCAAUUACUUAAUGCUUUGCCUGAUCAUCCUCUCAAGAAAAAUGAAAUACUUGAUAUCUUUUACAGUGGACUAACCGAUGCUUGUAGAGAUCACCUGGAUAGUUGUGCUGGUUCUGUUUUCAGGGAAAGAACACUAGAUGUAGCUGAAAUUCUAUUGAAUAAUAUGUUGACAAAUUAAAAUAAUUGGACACUUCCUGAACCAACUCCUAAGCCAACUCCGAAGAAAAGGGGUGUUCUAUUUCUCGGUCAUGAAGAUAUGCAAGAGGCAAAGAAAUCUAUGAAAGAAAAGGGUAUAAAAGCUGAAGAUGUUAAGAAUUUACCUCCUGUUGAAGAAAUACAUGGUCUUAAUUUACCGCCUGUUGUAGAAAUAUAUGGUCUUAAUUCAUCACCUAUUGAAGAAACACAUGGCCUUGAUAACCCGACACAGGUAGUAAAGGUAAAUUCUCCCUAUAGAUAUGAUAAAGCUGAAAUCCCUCCUACUAAAUUUGCUAGCCAAUGUUUGGAUGAGUUUGAUAACUUUAUGAUUAAGGAAGAAGAUUUUAAUGCUUAUUUUGGUAUACAAUUAAAACAAAAUGCUUAUAUGAUUGAACACUUGAGUGAUUAUAUGUCUAGAGUUAAAGGUGAACUUAAACUCAUUAGUAAACGUGCUUCUAUGGUUACCACUCAAGUAGAACAAGUACUUAAAGCUCAGAAUGAUUUGCUCAAUGAAUUGAAUAGUAAGAAUAAUGAUUUUGCUGUUAGAGUGGCUACUAGAACUGGUAAAAUGACUCAGGAACCUCUGUAUCCUGAAGGCCAUCCUAAGAGAAUUGAGCAGGAUUCUUAGAGAAAUAAUAUUGAUGCACCUACUCCUUCCAAAAAGAAGAAAAAGAAAAUGAUAGGACUUUGCAUGCUUCUAGUGAACCUGUUGUAGACACACCUGAGAAUCCCAAUGAUAUUUCUAUUUCUGAUGUUGAAACACAAUCUGGUAAUGAACAUGAACCUAAUGAUAAUGUUAAUGAUGAUGUUCAUGUCAAUGUUCAACCUAGUAAUGAUAAUGAUGUAGAAAUUGAACCUGCUAUUGAUCUUGAUAACCCACAAUCAAAGAAUCAACGCUAUGAUAAGAGAGACUUUGUUGCUAGGAAACACGGUAAGGAAAGAGAGCCAUGGGUUCAGAAACCCAUGCCCUUUCCUCCUAAACCAUCAAAGAAAAAGGAUGAUGAGGAUUUUGAGCGCUUUGCUGAAAUGAUUAGACCUAUCUUCUUGCGUAUGCGUUUAACCGAUAUGCUCAAAAUGAAUCCUUAUGCUAAGUAUAUGAAAGAAAUUGUUACUAAUAAAAGAAAGAUACCGGAAGCUGAAAUUUCCACCAUGCUUGCUAAUUAUAGUUUUAAGGGUGGAAUACCAAAGAAACUUGGAGAUCCAGGAGUACCCACUAUACCAUGCUCCAUUAAAAGAAAUCUUUAUGUGAUCUUGGAGCCGGUGUUAGUGUUAUGCCUCUCUCUUUAUAUCGUAGACUUGAUUUGAAUAAGUUGACACCUACUGAAAUAUCUUUGCAAAUGGCUGAUAAAUCAAAUGCUAUACCUGUCCGUAUCUGUGAGGAUGUGCCUGCUGUGGUUGCAAACGUUACUAUUUUAACGGACUUUGUUAUUCUUGAUAUUCCCGAGGAUGCUAGUAUGUCUAUUAUUCUGGAAGACCCUUUUUGAAUACUGCAGGGGCUGUUAUUGAUUGCAAUAAAGGCAAUGUCACUUUUCAUGUCAAUGGCAAUGAGCAUACGGUACACUUUUCAAGGAAACAACCUCAAGUCCACAGUAUAAAUUCUAUUGGAGAAAUUCCAUCGAUUAUUUUUGGAGGUUUUGAAUUUCCUCUUCCUACUGUCAAAAAGAGAUAUGAUAUUCUUAUUAUUGGGGACGUGCAUAUCCCCGUUGAGGUAACAUAGUCUUAUUCGAAAUUUCUCCGGUUCAUGUUACUCGAAAUGAGUUUGUUAACAAGACCUGAUCAACCUUGUUAGUGGAUUCCUUUUGAUGAGCAUGAGAUGGGUGAAGUUAGAAAGCACAACCUUCUGUACCCUCCUUUUACUUUUUGUUAUUUAGUUGAAAUAAAUUAAAAAUAGUAUUUUCUGUUAGUUUUCUGAAUUAUUCAUGCAAUAAAAAAGAUGCCCCGGAAAUAAAAGUUCUCCAAAUGCCCUGAAAUUGAAAUAUGAUUUUUUCUGGAAUAUUUGAGAAUAUCUGGCACUGAGAACACAGCAGGGGGAGCAAGCACCUGGCCACGAGGGCCCUGGGCGCGCCCCCCUACCUCGUGGGCCCAUGGUGGCUCCCCUCCACUUAUUCCUGCACCCACACACUCCUUCCUCCCCAAGAAUCACCAAACAGCUCAAGCAUGAGUUCUAGCUCAUUUUGCUGCAAUCUUCGAUCUCCUUGGUCAAAGCACCUCUCACAAAACUGCUUUGGGGGAUUGUUCCUUGGUAUGUGACUCCUCCAAUGGUCCAAUUAGUUUUGUUCUAGUGCUUUAUUCAUUGCAAAUUUGUGUUGCCUAGGUGACCAUGUUCUUGAGCUUGCAUGUCAAAUUUAUAUGGUUCCAAGUAGUUCUAAUGCAUGAUAUAGUCUCUAGGCACUUGUGGGAGUAGUUGCUAUCAAUUUUGUUGAGCUUGGUUCACUUUUAUUUGAAGUUACUAAAAUUUUCAGAAAUUUUUCAGAGGAAGAAAUAUGUUUAGGAAAAUGUACCAAGGUGGCCCUUCAAGGAAGCAAGGACCCAGGCUCGCAAUGCGCGAUGCCAACGAUGAACCACCAAGGGCCGCUCAAGUGCGAGCUUGUGAAUGGCCUUCAGAGGACUUCAUGGAUCGAGCAGGAAUCAAGGAAGAAUUUAACGCAUAUGUGCGUAACGCUGAUCUUGUGAGCUUCGAGGCAGAUGAUUGCCGUCAGUACCAUUAUCUCACUGAUUCCUUUCUGAGAAGGUUUGAAUUUUCAUCUUCACGCAAUUCUCAAACUGUCCUGUUUGAUCUCUAUGAAAAUUCUUACACUAUGGACUUAAAGGAUUUUAAUACUGCUUGCAAACUUCCACAAUGGGGUAGUCCUAGUGAACCUCGCAAAUCUGAAUUUAGAGAUUUUCUUGGUAGUAUAAAUGUGGGGGAAUCUAGAGAUAUAGCACAAGCUACCAUAGGGAGCAUUCAUUUUCCUGAUAUACAUUAUUUUGCUCUCUUCAUAGGUAGGUGCAUAAAUGGUAAGGAUGAAGCAUGUCACAUGUGUGUCCCCGACCUCAGUGUUCUCAGGAGCACUGUGUUAGGAGAUAAACAUUAUAAUUUGGGAUCCAUUGUUGCAUGUAGGUUGCAUAAUAAUAGAUUUAAUGAAGAUUUCUUUGGUGGAAUUUAUGCAACCCGUUUAGCUAAUUUUCUUAAUAUACCCAUACGUGAGUAUGAUAUUGAGUUGCCUCCUAUUUAUUUAGAUUAUGAGGCUAUGGUUCGUCAUCGUUUUGUUGAGAGGAACGAUCAGUUCCUCCAGUACCGACUAAUCUUUAAUAGACGACGCACCUAUCACGUCGCUCUCCCUGCUUCUACUUUCUUUGACUUCCAGGCAAAAGGGAGAUAUUUUAUAACCAAAGAGGAGGCCGACGAGUAUAAGAGGAGGACGGAGACAGCCCGCCUCCAAGCUGCAGCCCACGAUGCGAUAGCCACGGCAUCACAGUACGACCCCAGUUACAACUUCGGAUAUCCGCCAGGCCAGCCGUGGCAAUAGACCAACUUAGGCCAAAAGCCUAAGCUUGGAAGAGUACGUAUUUCUCACCGACAUUACAUUUAUGUUUACACACUCAUUGCUAGAUGUCGGUGCUCAUACUUUUUCACUGUAAUAUCCAUGCUAUUUUAUUUUCCUUUUUAUGCUUUCUUCUUGUGUGUUUGAAAAACCUUAAGAAAAAAGAAAAAAAAUUAGUUGUAGCGUUUAGCUAGUUUACUUUCUUGCUUGUAGUAGUAAUAAUUAAAAGAAAACCCAAAAAUAUUUCCUGUUCUUCUUUUUCUUGUUGGGAGCUUUGUGUACAUAGUUUUAUUUAUUUUCUUUGGGGGUCGAUAGGAGAAGAUCAUAAUGAAAUUGUUAAAGUGGCUCUUAUAUGCAUUAUUGUUGAUUUAACCAAGAGCCCGUAUUGCCUUGUCUUCUCCUGUUUAUUGAAUGCUCGCAGAUUCCAGCUUAGUCCAAUGCACGUGCACUAUUAUUGUUAUCCGCACCGUUCGGUCGUGCAAGCGAAAGGCAAUUAUGACGGUAUAUGAUGGACUGAUUGAGAUGAGAG